ACAAGAUUAGAAUUCCUUUUAACGAAAUCUAAGAUAACAACUUCAUUUUAAUGAUUUGUAAUUAAUUUUCACAAAAUACGCCGCUAUCACAAUAAAAAUAAGGUGUUAACCCUUUACUAGAAUACGACUUUGUUGUUAAUUGCCUAAUGACUCGAUCUUGAAUCGGGGAACACAAAAUUACAUUUUUAGGUUCAUCCGUAAGGGUAAACCAAAUCCAUUACGCUUUAUGUCCAACAUCAUCAUUCAUUGCACUCCAUAUUUUACCCUUUAUCUGAUGUUUUUAUUUCGAGACGCAUCUAAAUAGUUAAUCGCUUUCUAGUUACUUAACAUAAUUAUAAAAAUUACACAUCAUCUUCAUCUGUGUGCUUAACUACAAAUUUCUAAAAACGAGAUUCCUUUAGAAUUUCUUACAAAGUUCUAAGACAACCUUGAAUAUCUUGAUUUAAGGGAUUUGGUUCCAAAACUCAACUUAUGGGAAGAAGAUUGAGAGUUGAGAGACUAUGAGGUGAGUGAAACAUGAGUGUACAGUGAGGGAAAGUAUUUUGCUAUUAACAUUUUCUUGCAGGUACUGCAUUAUAUCUCAACUAAGUGAAAACAAUGAUCCAACCAACCUGUAAGAAUGUAUGGAGUAAGUAAUCUAGCAAACUAUGUUUAUAUGGCUUAGUGUCACGGGGUUAGUAAUUUUGAAGUUACCCAUGCGGCACUUGCUCAAUCUAAGCAGUCAAGACUAAAUAAGCCUUUUGUGUGUAGAAAGAGUUAACUAAGAGCAAGAGAGAGUAGCGAGCUUGAAGAAUAAGAGAGCUUUAUCGAGAGCAUUGUAUGCUUUACAAGAUUGCUGGUGCCGCUAUGUGCAUGUACAAAUAAAGAGGGAUGGCCUAUUUAUAGUAUUUGGCCCCCUCAAUGGACGACUAGGAUCAUUUUGAUCUAAGGGACAAUAUUAUAUCUGUAGAUUAUUUUAGAAAUAUUUACACGAAAGGGAUAAGGCUAGAAACAUCUAGGCAGCAUGCUUCCCCGGUCUUCUAGUUUCUUCCUAGGUCCUUCUGGGCUGGUAGCUUGAACGUAGACACUUGCUGGAGCUUUCUAGCACUUGGUGGAGCUUGCUAAAGCUUUCCCGCAGCUUCCAGAUUUUUCUUGCGCAUUCUAGAGUUUGCCCGCUUGAGGGAGAUUUUUCCACCCGGGCUUCCGGACUUUUCCCGCAGUUAGGCAGCGUGCGCGCUUGAUGGCUUCCUAGUGCGUGCGUGCAUUUUCUGAUUCAUUGGGCGCUCGGCUGUGCAGCAGUUUGCGCGGGGCGUAACACCUCCCCCAUUUGAUCGCGCGACAUCCUCGGCGUGGUUUCUUCCUUGUACUGCCAGAUGGCAUCAGCGAAUUGCCAAAGAAAAUCUUCUAGUUCCCACAUGACUUCAUUUUCCGAAUGGUCUUUCCACCUCACCAAGUAUUCAGUGUAGCUACGCACACCACGCUUGCAAAUCACUCUAUCCGCAAGGAUGUAUUCUACUUGUCGAAGUCAGUGACAACCAUAGUAGGGACGUGCUUGGACUCACACUUGCUUGGAUCUUCCUAGUCUUCAUGAUAAGGCUUCAGGAGACUUACAUGGAAGACAAAGUGAAUUUUUAAGUCUUGGAAGGAAUUGGAUCUGAUAGGCUACUUUGCCGACCCGCUUGACGAUGGGAAAAGGGUCUUCAUAUCUCUGCACUAACCAUUUGUGCACUUUGCGCGAAGACUUGAACGGUUGGGUAGGAGCUUGACAAUCACCAUGUCGCCCUCAACAUAUUCCAUUGGUCGCCUCUUGGUGUCAACUCAUUUCUUCAUCCAUCAAGUGGCCUUGUCAAGGCAAGCUCUUGUGAUGCUUGCCUCUUCGUGCCAUUCCCGUAUGAGCUUGUGGGCCAAUAGGCUGCUACCUUCAUAGAUAAGGCUAUGACAUUGGGUGUCACGAGCUAUUGGCCCAUGACGAUCUCGAUGGGGUUCUUUCUAGUCGACUCUCUCCACUGGAGAUUAUAUGAGAAUUGGGCCACAUCAAAUAACUUCACCCAAUCUUGUUGAUGGGUACUGACAUAGUGUCUCAAGUAGAGCUCUAACAACGCGUUCACCCGCUCGGUCUGGCCAUCACUAUGCAGAUGGAAGCUGGUCGAGAAAUUCAGUUAUGUCCCCAACAACGUGAACAAUUCUCGCCAGAAUUUUUUCGUGAAGCGCGGUUCUCUGUCAUUAAUGAUGCUCCACAGGAUUUUCCAUAACUUCACAAUGUUCUUAAGGAACAGUUGUGCGGCUUCGUCCCCCUUACAAUAGGCUGGGUUUGGAAUGAAGGUGGCAUACUUACUAAAUCGGUUGACCAUGACCAUGAUGUUUCUGUACCCGUCAGACUUUGAUAAAGCCACUAUAAAAUCCAUAGAGAUACUCUCCCAUAGUAUCUCGGCGAGGGGUAGAGGCUUUAGCAGUUCGGUAGGAUGCUAAUACUCGACCUUAUCCUGCUGGCAGACAAGGCAGGUCCGCACAUAAGCUUCCACAUCAUCCUGCAUGUAGGGCCAAUAAUAGUGAUUUUGUAUAAGCACCAAGGGUUUGUGCUAUUCCUGGGUGGCCAGGCCACUUUGUAUUGUGGCUCUCUUUAGCGAUCUCCUUUUGCAUUUUCUUGGACAAGGUUGUCCAUGGUGUCGAUGAGUUCGUCCACAGUGGCUUGGAUGGUCCCAUAUCGCGUUUAAGCAGUGAAACAUUGGGGUCAAGGGAUUCACCUAUAAAAGUAGCAAGGACAGAGGCUUUUGACUUAACUCGCUUGGGGUAAGCAUGCGGCUCUCCACAAGCUUGCUCUUGGAGCACUUUGACUCAGACAAUUUUGCCUUCUUUUAAUGUCAUGCUUGUUAGCUAGAGUUGGCGGAGCCAAGGAUAGACAAAAACCUUUACUCUGAUACCACCUGUCACGAGGUUAGUAAUUUUAAGGUUACCCGUGUGGCGCUUACCCAAUCUAAACGGCCAAGACUAAAUAAGUAAGCCUUUUGUGUGUAGGAAGAGUUAGCUAAGAGCAUAAGAGAGUAGCGGGCUUGAAGAAUAAGAGAGCUUUAUUGAGAGGUUUGUAUGCUUUACAAGAUUGCUUGUGUUGUUGUGUGUAUGUACAAAUGAAGAGGGUGGUUUGUUUAUAAUAUUUGGGCCCCUCAAUGGAUGGAUAGGAUCAUUUUGAUCCAAAGGACAAUAUUACAUCUCUAAACUAUGUUAGAAGCAUCUAGGCAACAUGCUUUCACAGCCUUCUGGAUCCUUCCAGGCUAACAGCUUGUAGGUAGGCACUUGUUACAGCUUUCUAGCGCUUGGCGGAGCUUGUUAUAGCUUUCCUGCAACUUCUAGAAAUUUUCUGCGCAUUCCAAAGUUUUCCCCCAGGCUUCCAAACUUCUCCUGUGGCUAGGCAGCAUGCGCACCCACGCUUGACAGCCUGCUUUUGCACACGCGUGUUUCCUGACUCAUUGGGCGCUCAACUAUGCAGCAGUUUGCGUACAGCAUAACAUCAAUUUGGCUAUUGAGAAUCUAGAGACAAGAAUGGAUGGAAAAAGGAAGAACAAUAGACCACCUCAAGCUAGAAUUAAAUAGCGUGAUAGAAAAAGUGAGAGAAUUAAAUUUAUCUCCCAAAUGAGAAAAUGGUAAAAAUGGAGGGAGAAACUUUCCCCCAAGUGAGUGAGAAAAAUUUUCCCCAAGUGAAUGAUAGAAAUUGUCCCCCAAGUGAGGGAGAGAAAAUUCCCCAAAUGAGUAAGAGAAAUUUUCCCUUCGCAUGAGUAAGAAAAAUUUUCCCCAAAUGAGUGAGAGAAAUUGUCCCUCAAGUGAGGAAGAGAAAAUCCAACAAGUGAGUGAGAGAAAUUUUCUCCCAAGUGAGUGAGGAAAUUUCCCCAAGUGAGUGAGAAAACUUUUCCCCAAGUGAGUGAGAGAAAAAUCCCUUAAGUGAAAAAAGUCCCCCACAUGGGAGAAUAAUUCCUCAAGUGAGAAAAAUAUCCCAAGAAGGAGAAAAAUCUCCCAAGAGGGAGAGAAAAAAAUGAGAAGUGGAAGAGGAGAGAAAAUUCCCUCGAGAGAGGGAAAUUUCCAUCAGCCAAGAAAGUUUCCCAAGUUGGAAUAUCCCAUAAAUCAUGAGAUUAUAAAAUAAUUAAGUUUCCUUUUAUGUAACUAUAACAACACUAUAAAUAGUCAUAUAAUCACUUGUAAUAUUCAAUAAGAAAUACAAAUUUCUCCACAAGGAAGUUGGUGACAACUGUAUUUACCUGGGAAUAUUACCAUUACUACCAACCAAUGAUUGACUGCAGAAACUGUGUAAAUAUAUGACGAAAUCACUUGUAAUAUUCAAUAAGAGAUACAAAUUUAUCCACAACAAGAAAGUUGGUGACAGCUGUAUUUUUACGUGGGAAUAUUACUGUUACUACAGACCAAUGAUCAGCUGCAGAAACUGUUACAUGUAUGACGAAAUUUGAUUUUAAGUAGUAAAAAGUUAUCAAAGAAAUUUCUAAUUUUCUCCUAUCAUUCUCUCUACUUUUCUACCCCUCUUUCACCCUUCUAUUUUCUCUUCUUUCCUCCCAAGGUUCUUCCUCUAUCAUUGAUCUUUCGCGUCAGCUCCAUUUCUUCUAACCUAAGGAUACCUCAUGGGCCAGUAUCCUGACAGAGUUCCUUUCAUUGGAAAGUUUGUAAGUGAAACAUAGAACUACAAUUACUUACAACCUACUAUAUAGCUUAUAAUAUUCGAAGAAUCUUUACAUUAAUUCCUCCAAAUCUCUCAACAAAUCUGCUGGAAUUAAUUACCAAAUCUGCAGGACAAUAAUUUGCCCAAACUUCGCAGCAGAAGUUUUCAAAGUACUCAAAAUAAAAUUGCUAACCACCAAAUAUAUUAGGAGAAAUCCAACCCCGAUAAUUCUAGGACAAAGCAAUUACAAUAAGCAAAAGAUUGACAUAACAAAAUUGCUACUGACUAUAUGCAUAAUCACUUAUUAACCAAGCUCCUCACUUCUUGUGCCACGAAUAAACUGUUGAUAGACCUGUUGACGGGGGAUGAGAUGGAGAGGAUCAUUUCGACUCCCAGAAUCUCACUCAAUGUAUGAAUUAGAAGACUUAACCACAUAAUUUGUACUCUCUACUUAAAAUUACACCCACCUAUAUGACAUACAAAAUCAAGAUAAUAGGAAAAUAAAAAGAAUAAGGAAGGACACUACGACUUAUCCGAUAAGUCAAAAUCUUGAUUUCCUAACUCAACAAAACUUCUGAAAUCUCCCUAACUUGAAGAACUUGAAGAACACUCAAGAAAAUUAAUUAAACUAAUUUCAAGAGAGCAAAAGUUUUGAGAUUUUUUAAUCUUGGAAGUUGUGUUUAUAACUUAAGGACUUGAGACUUUUUUAUAGGUUUUAUUCUACAAAUCGACUCGAAGAAUUAUAAGAAAUUUUCAUUUAAAAUUUAGACAUAAUUUGACUAAAAUACUUAAACUAAAUUAAUAAAAUAAUGAAAUCCUUAUCUAGAUAGGAUAAUGAAAGUAAUUAAAUAAUUAAAAUUAUAAAACUCCUCCUCAUAGCCAAAUUUGAACUCUAUCUCGGGUUUGGACUUCAAUUGCAUUCAGCUUCAUCUUUCUUCAUUCUUUGUUGAUUCUUGAGGAUCUUUGAGUAGGAUUCUUGCUGGAUUUUUGCAAGAUUUUAAUUAUAUAGGUUUUAUUCUACAAAUCGACUCGAAAUAUUAUAAGAAAUUUCCACUUAAAACUUAGACAUAAUUUGACUAAAAUACUUAAACUAAAUUAAUAAAAUCAUGAAAUCCUUAUCUAGAUAGGAUAAUGAAAGUAAUUAAAUAAUUAAAAUUACAAAACUCCUCCUCAUAGCCAAAUUUGAACUCCAUCUCGGGUUUGGACUUCAAUUGCACUCAGCUUCAUCUUUCUUCAUUCUUUGUUGAUUCUGAGGAUCUUGAGUAGGAUUCUUGAAGUAAGAUUCAUUAAGAAGACUUCGGCAUAACAAGGCUUCCUUGGCCGAUUUGUUGCUCUUGGAUGCCUUCAAUUUGAGGUCUUUUCGCAUUUUCUUGGCUAUCCUCAUCCUUCUUGAAGUCUAUAAUUUCCAGCAAGGAUUCCUCCAUGGAGAAUGUGUAUUCUUCUUGAACUUGAAGUAAUAAAGUUGGAAAAUAAGUCUCCUCCUCUUUGGUGUUGGAAUCCUUCAAGCAAUCUCCCUCUUCCUCUCGAUUUUGGAGUCCUUCAAGGCCAAGAAUUCUUUUGGCCCAUUGCCCCUCUGAUAGGCCUUGUUGGUCUUUUUCCCUUUUGGGAUUGGUUUGCUCUUCAUCCUCAUCUACGUUGGUCCUUGGGAGCAAAGCCUUUGGGCUCACAGGUCUUGGGCUUUAGCCUCUUGGACCGGCUACUUUGAAGCCACUUGAACUCAUCUUGGGCCUGGAACACUUGUUGGGUUUCAAAAAUAUCCAACCCAUCCAAAAUUGACCCACAAGCUCGUGGGAACACUCCAGCAUGUAGGAAUUCUUCUCCGUGUGGGAAGAUGAUUCGCGGGCAUGUGCUCGAGUAUGUGCAGCGUGUGUGCAUGCGUUGGCAGUGCACGUGCUUCCUUGGUGCGCACACGGAGAGCAUGUUAUGCGUGUGUGUGUUGGCCUCCCUUCGCGUGCGGGUUUUUUCACCUGCAUACCCGCAAGUUCGCAGGUAAUUUUCCCAUGGCCACUCCAACUCUCGCGGGUUUCCAUUCUCCUUGGGUCUCUUCAUCGGACAUUGCUUCGAGGUUCUCAGAUGUCACAUCAUCCCCCAUUCUUUAAAAAGAUUCAUCAUCGAAUCUGAGUCUUUGUCCCUGAUAUAAUUUGAUGCACAUAAAGUUGCCAGAAACACAUGAAAAUAAUUUGGUUGGUACCUAUGAAUGUUGGAACACAUUCUCAUAUAGAGUUGCUUCAAAGUUUUUGUCUCCGGUGCCAUGAUGAACUCUUUUAUCUUUUAAGUUGAGCCUUGGAAUCGAAUCUACUUAAUAAGGACCUGUACGUUAGUCUCAAACACUGGCAAGGAAUCCUAACGAAGUAUUGACUCUAUAGCUCAAACUUAAGCUCAAGGAACAAUGCAAAUGCAAUACUGUAAAGUAAACGUGAAGCAAACGGUUUUUCGCUCAUAGAAGUGAGUUAAUCUUCCUUUACUUUAUGCAACAGAAUGAAAGCAAAAGUUUUCAUACACAUCUGGUAGGUUAUGUAAUCUUCCUUUGAUACUUCAAAAGUUUUCGUUACACUGAUAGGCGGUUAAUCUUCUUUUGUUUGGUUUUAAUAUAAAACAACAUGUCAAUUGCCUUAUUUGGUGCAAUUGAGAUACUUUUGGGUUUUUGAUUUUCUAUAUAUAUCUUUUUUGACUAAUAGAAUAAACAUACAAUUACUUGAAUUGAAUGUAUAGAAUAAAUUCAACUGAGAUACAAAUAUGAAUUAACAAUAAAAUUUUGAUUGCUAACUUAUGCAAAACACAAAAAUGUUAAAAUAAUAAAAAUGGUAGGUUCACUAAAAGUUUAAACUCUGAUACCAGAUGAUGCGGGAGGAGAUGGGAAAGAUCAUUUCAACUCCCAGAAUCUCAUUAAACAUAUGAUUCAAAAGACUUAAUUACCUAAUUUACUCUCCCUACUUGAAACUACACCCACCUAUAUGGCAUGCAAAAUCAAGAUAAUAGGAAAAUAAAAAGAAUAAGGAAUGACAUCACGGUUCACCCGAUAAAUCAAUUUUAAUGCCCUGUCUUAACAAGACUUCUGAAAGUUCUCUAUCUUGAAAAACUUGAAGAACACUAACGAAAAUUAGUCAAACUAAUUUCAAGAAAGCAAAAACUUCAAAAUUUAUCUUUAAAGUUUUGUUUACUACCUAAGGACUUGAGGCCUACCUUUUUAUAAGCUUUAUUCUACGAAUUCAACUCGGAGUAGGAUAACAAAUUCCCACUUAAAACUUAGACAUAAUUUGACUAAAAUACUUAAACUAAAGUAAUAAAAUAAUGAAAUCCUUAUCUAGAUAGGAUAAUGAAAGAAAUUAAAUAAUUAAAAUUAUUAAACUCCUCCUCAUAGAAGAACUUGAACUCCAUCUCAAGUUUGGACUUCAAUUGCACUCGGCUUCAUCUUUCUUCAUUCUUUGUUGAUUCUUGAGGAUCUUGAGUAGGAUUCUUGCUGGAUUUUUGCAAGAUUUUAAGUAGGAUUCAUCAAGAAGACUUUGGCAUGGACAAUGCUUCCUUGGCCAAUUGUUGCUCUUGACUCUUCAAUUGAGUCUUUCUCAUUUUCUGGGCUAUCCUCAUCGUCUUGAAGUCUAUAAUUUUCAGCAAGGAUUCCUCCAUGGAGAAGGUGUCUUCUUAUUGAACUUGAAGUGAUAAAGUUGGAAGAUAAGUCUCCUCCCCUUUGGUGUUGGAAUCCUUCAAGCAAUCUCCCUCUUCCUCUCGGUUUUGGAGUCCUUCAAGGCCAAGAAUUCUUUUGGCCGAUUGCCCCUCUAACAGGCAUUCUUGGUCCUUCUCCUUUUUGGGCUUGGUUUGCUCUUCACCCUCAUCUACGUCGGAUUCAAGAAGGAUAAGCCUUCUUAUGUGGCCGGACCUCCUUUUCUUUGGGCCCUCUUGGCCAUGGCGGACUUGAGUCAAGACCGCGCUUGGCCGAGCCUUGGCUUUCUUCUUGGGUGGCAACAACACCUUCUCUUGGUCUUCCAAGACGGACACUUGGUUUGCACGGCUUGAAUCUCCUCGGGUUGGGCAUAACAAGAUCAUCUCGGUCGGUCCUUGGGAGCAAAGCCUUUGGGAUCUCGGGUCUUGGGCUUUAGUCUCUUUGACCGGCUACUUUGAAGCCUCUUGGACCCAUCUUGGGCCUGGAACACUUGCUAGGCUUCAAAAAGACACAACCCAUCUGAAAAUUAACCCACAAGCUCAUGGGUAGGAAUUCUUCUUCAUGCGGAAAAAGGAUUUGCAGGCAUGUGCCUGGGUGUGCGCGGUGUGUGCACGCACGCUGGCAGCGCGUAUGCUUCCAUGGUGCGUGUGCGGAGAGCAUGUUGUGCAUGUGCGUGUUGGCCUCCCUUUGGGUGCGGGUUUUCUCACCUGCAUACCCACGGGUUCACGAGUAAUUUUCCCGUGGCCACUGCAACUCUUGCGGGUUUCCCAUUCUCCUUGGGACUCUUCCUUGGACAUUGCUUUAGGGCUUUUGGAUAUCACAUCACCUGUCCCCAAAAUGGAAUCACUUUGAUCAUAUUCUCCUUAGAUUCUGCUGAACUUCUAGUUGACUAAACACUCUAGUAGCUCAUGGGCCAGACCUUCCAGUAAAGAGUAGGCUGCUUGGUUUGAUUCUUCAGAGAUUUUUAAAAUUUGCAGUUUCUUUGAUUUCUUGAGUUUAAUAUACUCUACAUGGCUUCAGUACAGCUCCAUAGGUAAAAUAAAGUUUUUGGACAGAAAAUGAGUAGAAAGGAGUGAAGAAGAAAGUGCAGAAAAACAUUCGAUAAUCUGCAGCUUGCUUGAGCUUAAUCAAUGUAGCAUAUAGUUGACCUGAAAAUCUUUGAAAUGCCAUUUAUUGAACAAGGAAUCUGACCAUAUGAUAAAAAAGUGCAAAAUACCAGCAAGAUUUCCUUCAAACCACGGACAUAAACUUUCAAUAUAGAUAUAGGCCCACCUAUCUCAAGAUGAGAUUUGAUCAGGAAGCCACAUAAACACGACCCAAAGGUGAAAAGAGCUGCCUUAAACACACUCUAUUAUCAGAUCUUAGUUAGAAACAGCCAGGUUUAAUGCAUAUGCAAAAGUGAAUAUUUUUAAGUACAUCAGGAUGGAUCAAAGUCGUUCCAACAUGAAUGAAUAGUCAGGUGAGGAAGAAAAUAAAAAAAAUAAUAAAUAAUUCCACAUCACCACAUAUGGAAUGUUAAAGUGGAAGUAACAAGAAGUGCCUUAAACACCCUUCCAUAGGAUCUGCUCUGAAACAGCAAAAUUUAAUGCAUAUACAAAAGUGAACAUAUUAAUGACAUCAGAGUGGCCAGUCAAUUACUAGUGAAAUGGUCAGGUAAAGAAUAAAAUUAAAGACAACCGUUAAUAAUUGCAAAUCACCAAAUAUGGAAUGUCAAGAAGGAAGUGACCCAACCUUUUGGGCAUGUAAAGUAUUUCCAAGAUAGCACAUUAUAACUGAAGAAUGAGGGUUUAGUUGGAGAGCCUGUUGAAAGUGGUGCUCGGCAAAUUCAAAAUUCUCUUUGCGGAAGUAGAUCAUUCCAAGACCAUACCAGGCAUUGUAAUGUCUCACAUCUACCCUGAGGGCACUUUGGUAGCACUUUUCUCCAUUUUCAUAAUCUUCAAGUGCUGCAUACCUGUAAAUAGGAUAAUUUGUUGAGAGAGAUGCUAUGUUUUCCAUAGCUAUCUGAUUAUUGAAGACGACACUUCAUGAUACAAAUCAGAAAUAAUAUCAUACUCAUGACCGCAUAGCGUAUGGGCAUAUGCAAAUCUUGAAUUAAGCUUUACAGCCCGCAAAAAUAUUUUGAGAGCAGUCUCAUGAUCCUUCUGCAAACUGUAACAGUUUCCAACAGCACACCUGCAAUAGAGCUUCCACUGUAAAGAAAGCAAUAAUGACAAAAAUAAAUGGGAAAUACUGAAUGAUGUAUUAUUAACUCUAUGGUAAAAUACAGAAGCAAACUUUCUCUCUCUAACAUAAAGAAAACUUCAUUGGUGAAAGUAUGUUUAUCACUGCACUUGCAACUGCUGUUAUUAUUAUUAUUUAACUGCAAAAUGGAAAUAAAAAGCAAAAACCUAAUUUAGCUUAUCGUCUCUUAGCUUGUAUUUCUUGUUUCUCUUGUUAAUAAUAUUUCUUUUAUCAAAAGGAAAAAGAAAUAAAGAUUCAGUCAGAAACUCCCAAUUUCUCUAAAAGUGAAAAAAGUCGUACAAAAGAAAAAAACGUAGCACACAUUUGCAUAUUCUUACAUGGAGUAACACUUAAUGGCCUUCUAAUGACUCAUAAUGCAAUAAAAUUAACUCAGUGAAAUUGUAUAGCAAACAUUUUUAUAUUUUUCCGUGGAAAAGAUGUUAAUUGCUAAUGUAUCUCAUUAUUGGACGGUUCUUGCCUUCAAUUUGGAAUGCUCUUAAAAGCAUCCACCGGCACCUCUUAACGAUUGUAAAUUACAGCAUGUAAAUCUGAAGAAAAAAUUUAUAUAGAAGAUACCAAGAUACUAGUCCAUAAUACCUGACAGUUAAUCAAGACAUAAAACUUUGAUAAUGUUAAAACAAUUCGUUCUUGUAAUACACAAUAUUAUGAAAGGAUAGAAUGCUAUGAUUUAUUAUUGAAUAGUUUGAUUCUAUAUAUACACAACUUUAAGUAUAACUAAGAAAACCAUAAAAUUAAUUACACGGGUAUUUGAUUAUUAUACUCUUACACAUAAACUAAAUUAUAUACUUUUCAACAUUUUCCCUCAAGCUGGUGAAUACACAUUUCCAUUACCAGCUUAACAAUGAUGGACUAAAACUUUGGAUUGUUCAAGUUCUUACUGAGUACAUAUGAUAAUUUAGAAUUGGUAGGCAUGUAGGAGUGCAGGUUAAACCACUAUCUAGCUUCUCUUUGAUGAAAUACCUGUCAUCUUCAAUAUGUUUCAUCCUGUUAUGUGGCACUAUGUUAGAAUCCGCAAUCUGUGUACAAGAAUCUUUUUUUUUUAGGCUAAUUGCUAGGUUAUUUACAGCUGAUUGAUUGACAGAAUAUUCGGUAUUAAUAUUAGCAGAUUAUUUAGUAUUAGUACUAGAGAUUACAGCUGAUUGGUUGUCAGAAUAUUUGGUAUUAGUACCAGCAGAUUAUUUGAUAUUAAUACCAGAGAUGCCUCUUUCCUUUCUUUGCUGAUCCUCACUGUAUAAAUGGCACCCUUUGUAAACAUUUGUACGUGUGUGAAAUAAAUAAAAUCAGAAGGUCCUUCCUCUCAAUUCUUACAUGGUAUUAGAGCAUUAAAGCUUUACAAUCCUAGUUCCUUCGUUCAAGCUCUUCCAAGAAUUUUGCUUCUUUCCUUCCAUCAUGUAACUCCUCGUUCCAACAAACAUGAGUUUACAGGAGGCAAAGACUUCGUCCACAGAAUUAUUGAUGGCCACUUAUCCACCAGUCCUAUCUGUGAUCGCAAUCCUUUGGAGAGAAUUCUUCACUACAGAUCACUAAUCACAAGUUGGAUGGAAAAAAAUUUCCUCCAAUGGUUGCAGUCCAUCCUGCUCGUAAUUAGAGGAAGGGGAAAACUCGGCUACAUCACUGGCGAAAUCAAAUGUCCAGAUGUGUCUUGGACAUAACCUAUGCCAAUUGGGAACUCAACAAUUCCCUUGUCACGGCUUGGCUCAUCAUUCGAGUGUACAUUAACUUCUUGAAGAAGAUACAUCAUAAGUUAUCUCGAUUGUGAUGCAGGAGGGUAUGGAAAAGAUCAUUUUAACUCCCGGAAUCUCAACCCAAUGCAUGGAACAUAGAAACUUAACUGCUUAAUUAACUUCUCCAUUUACUUGAAUCUACAAUCAAGAAUAUGGCAUGCAAAACAGAAUUAGGAAACAAAAUUGAGGAAAAAAAAGACAGCCGCAGAUUUAAGGUUCCUAUCCAAACUCUAGGAUUUAAUUUAACUAGAAAACAAAUACAUAAUUAAUUAAAUAAUUAAAUCUUAUUCUAAUCCUAAUUUAAAUACAUAAAAUAAUUAAGAAAAUAUUAAAAUAAUAUUUUAUCCUUAUCCAAAUCUUCAAAAAUCUUGAUCUCUUUUGGACUUCAAUUUUGAGUAGAAAUCCUCUAAUUUUGGCAUUUAAAUCACAUGGGAAAUUGGUUAAGUCUUGGAGUCCUUGUAGCAAUUGGAAAAGGAGAAAAAGGAGUCCAAAAAGGAUUAGGAAAAAGGCUCCCCUUGCGGGUAGCUUGAACACGGCGCGCGGGUUGCACAAAGGUGCUGUGCGGGUUGCGCGGGGCGGUCUUGCUGCCUGGGCUGGGCGCGCACCUGGGCUGGAUGCCUUGUGCGGGCUCCGGGCGUUGGGCACCCGGCCUGCUUCGCACUUGCGCAUGCUAUGUGCAUGUGUGCGUUGUCUCCUGCGCGCAUGCCAGUGUGCGCUGGGUGUGCGGAGUUGCCUGUCCACAUGCCUCGCGUACUGUUUCACGCGAGCGAUGCACCCAUAUGUUCGGGUGAGCUCUUCCGCAUGUGUGAUGAUGUGCACAAAUGUUAAAAGCACGUCACAUGCAUGAUAUGUGCCAUCCUCUGACUUCCUGGAUCAGACUGCGUCUUAUGGGCUUUCUCUUGGGCUUCAACGGUGAGUUGUUUACCCAUUCUUGAACCAAAAGGUUGAAAAUACUCUGAAAUUGCUUGGCCCGGCUUCUGGUAAUCGGUCUUGGGGGUAAUUUAAUCUGACUUCCUAUCAGUCCCAACUCAUCAUGGACUUUGUGAGAUGGCUUGUCAUCUACUUGAGUGUCUGAUAUCACAUUAGAUUGUCUCCAUGUUUUGUGUGUGCCAGAUUGACUUUGCUUCUUUACUUGUUGACAUGGUUUUGCAUCAUUAGUGNNNNNNNNNNNNNNNNNNNNNNNNNNNNNNNNNNNNNNNNNNNNNNNNNNNNNNNNNNNNNNNNNNNNNNNNNNNNNNNNNNNNNNNNNNNNNNNNNNNNNNNNNNNNNNNNNNNNNNNNNNNNNNNNNNNNNNNNNNNNNNNNNNNNNNNNNNNNNNNNNNNNNNNNNNNNNNNNNNNNNNNNNNNNNNNNNNNNNNNNNNNNNNNNNNNNNNNNNNNNNNNNNNNNNNNNNNNNNNNNNNNNNNNNNNNNNNNNNNNNNNNNNNNNNNNNNNNNNNNNNNNNNNNNNNNNNNNNNNNNNNNNNNNNNNNNNNNNNNNNNNNNNNNNNNNNNNNNNNNNNNNNNNNNNNNNNNNNNNNNNNNNNNNUCGCUCUCAUAAUAAAAACAAGAGUAUUAACCCCUUACUAGAAGACAACUUUGUUGUUAAUCGUCCGGUGACUCAAUCUUUGAUUAGAGAACACAAUAAUUUGGUAUCAGAGUCAUACACCAUGGGCGAGCAAGGACUGUGUGAGGAACUGAAAAAUUUAAUAACUCAAUCAAAUGUCCGGAUGGAUGUUAAGCUACAACAAUUGUCUCAAUAGAUGGAGUGUGACACUCUUGAAUCUGUUUAACUUAAAUGUUCAUAUUUUAAAUUUAUAAUUUAAAUUUACUCUUAAAAUUAUUUUACGCAUGAUUUUAAUUUUACUUUCAUAAAAAAAAGAGAUUUAAAAUUGAAAACAAAAGAGAAAAAAAAAAGAAAGAAAACAUGACCACAAACAAGCCUCGGGGGAAGCCGUUAGCAAGUACAUGCGCGGGAGUGCGAGCAUGCGGAACAGUGCCACACGCACUCACGGGGGACAAACGUUGCCCACUACAGUGGCUGCGUGUUGUGCCACUGCAGCUGCUGCCAUGGCUGCCACAUGGCAUGCAUGCAUGCCAUGUCUCAUCAGUCGGUCGGCCAUUAAGGCUGAUCAACGGCCGAAAUUGUUUGCAUGUGAUUCGACGAAUCACUUGCACUCCUCCUUGGAUAUUUAAACUCAAAACCUCUCAUUUCUUCUCCAUUUCUUCCCCUUUCCUCUUCUUCUUCACUUGACUAAAAAGAGGGAAGCUUAAGAUAGAGUUUGAGUGUAAACCGACAGCUUCAAGCCUUCUUCCUCCUCCGCUGUGAGGUUUUUCUCGUGCCUUCUUCCUUUAACCAAAGGUAAGUCUCCUAACUCUCAUUCCUGACUCUUUUCUUCACUUAGGGUGCCAUGGAUCUCACCCUUGAGCUUUUCUUCUCUCUCAAAUUUGCAGAAUACCUUCCGCAAGUCCCAAGGAAAGCUUUUCUCCCUUUAAACCGCAAACAUCCUCACUUCCCUUGAACCCGAAAGUUUGACAGUAAGAGGUAGGGGUUUAGUAUUUCUUCUCACCCUCCUAAUGAGUUUUCUAGGCUUUAAAACUGUUUAAAAGUCAAAAUGCUUGUUUUGUUUUUGAUUGCUUCAUGCAUGAAAUUGUUUACUAUUUGAAUUUGGUUUAUGUCAAAUGUUUGAUGAAGUUUUUGAAGUGAUUUGGAAUGCUAAAUGCCGAGGUGAUUAUGCAUGUUUGAAGAAUGACUAAGAUGUUUGAAUAAUGUAGAUUGAAACAGUAAAAAUAGGUUUGGAAUGGGUUUUGGGCUCCAAGGUGCCAAAAUCGGUCAUGGGUUACGGCUGUGUAGCUAUAGUGCACGAGGGUCAUUGCCCUGGCACGCUCAGGUGCCAAGACGAGGUCCCUGGCCUGCUGCGUGCCUGCAUUAGCCGUGCGCGGGAGCACAAGCCCUGCCAAUCGUGCCAGCAAGCCGAGGGGGCCUGCUUUGCGUGUGUGUGUGCGCAUGUCACCAUGCGUGUGCGGGCGCAGGCGCACGGCUUAUGAGACGUGUCUGCACGCCGAGAAGCUUGUGCAUGCACGAAGUGAGGGUUUGCUUGUGAGCGCACGCGAGGGCAUGUCCCUGCUUGCCCAAGCGCGCGUGGGAUAGCUUGCUGAGGGCACGCUGUGGCAUGUCGUGUUGUUCGGCUGCUUGGCACGCCUGCAUGCUAAGCAAGCUGUGUGGGCUGAACCUUCUACCUCAUCCUUUGGGCAAAAGUCGAGAGGGUUAGCCCAAUUGGGCCUCGACCCGAGAAGGGAACCCGAUAACCCAAUCUGAGUUUAUAGGCUCCCAUGUGGGCCGAGUAGGAUCGUGUGGGCCCCCAACUGGGCUGAGUGAUGUGCGGACCCCCAUCGGGUCUGGUUUGGUUCAAGGGACCACCACCGGUCCAGGUCAGGUGUGUUGGGCACUUAUUGGGCCGGGUUAGUCAAUGGACCCUAUUGGGUCAAGUUUGGUCAAGAGACAAUGUCAGGUCUGGGUUUAUUUAGUUGGUCUCGGUUGGGUCCAGUUCUGACCAGUGGACCAUAAUUAGGUCUCGAUUCAAUGGCUUAGGGUCUUUGUAGGCCUAAAUGAUUGGGAAUCAGAGUAGUCCCGGAAUUGGGUGACUGUAGGUUUUUAGAACCAGUUUGAUAGACCCAACGGGUCGAAACGAAUGCUAUAAACUAUAAAUUAUACUGUGAGCCCAUAAUUGUUAAGAAAAAUGAAAAGACUGAAAUAUAUUUGACAGUUGUCACUGAAGGGUGACCGAAUAUGAUUGUUAUUCGACUGUUGGUGAACCGCUCCCUGUGAAUUGUAUUGGUAUUCGCUCUGACGAGAGCAGAUCGCGACUGAUUGUAAGGGUCGCAGUGGUGAAGUACUAUCGUGGUCAUAGUCUCUAACUGUAUUAUUGUAUAUCAAACUGAUCUGUUUCCCAUUCACAGUGUUAGUAGGGGAUCUCCUCUGUCCUCUGCUGAUAUAGGUUAGAACGGUUUCUCGCGAAAAUCUGUAAAUACUAUAACUGAACCGAAAAAUUUAAUUGUUUAAGUAGAACUGUUGCUUGGGCAUUCGUGUUUUAGACAGCUUUCUUGAAUAGGUUAUGUUUCUCACUGUUCCAUCUUGUCAUGCCAUGUUUAGAUAGUUUUGUUUAUAUCAAAUAUGUUUCUCACUGUUUCGUCUUACUACUUAUGUUUUGAGGCUAGUAUUUCAAAACGUAUUUCAAUUAAUUAAAAGUACAGGAUUUUCAAUGAUAUUUUAAACAAACUAAACCUGCAACGGUAUCUGACGGUAAGAACCAUUGACUGUAAAAGUAACGAUAUUUUUCUUCAAAAUAAAAUAACUUUUGAAACGUUAGUAACAUAAUUUAAAUAUUAUUUCUCUUACUGAAUUUUAUGGAACUUACCCAAAUCUAUUUCUCCCAAAAGAUUUUUAGAGAAAAUAAACUUUUAAUUUUUAAUUAUUUGUUUUGUUUACAUUUAGAAUAUAUAUAGACUAAUUAUUCUUAUUAUAUUUGAACUCUAAUUAUAGCAUAUAAUUAUAUUAUUAGAACUCUAAAUACUAUAGUAUUCUACUUAACAUAAAAUCUUUAUCAACACUCCUCCUCAAGUUGGUGCAAAGAUAUCACACAUGCCCAACUUGCAAAUCAGGUUCUGAAGAGAUUUGUUGCAUAAUCCUUUAGUGAAAAUGUUAGCCACUUGGUCGGCAGAAUAUACAUGAUAUAAGCAUAGAGAGCCACCAACUACCUUCUCUUUUAUGAAGUGUCGAUCAAUCUUAAUGUGUUUUAUCCUGUCAUGUUGAACUGGAUUAUGAGUAAUGUUAAUUGUUGCUUUAUUGUCACAAAAUAGGGAUAGUUUCUUAUUUUUAAGCAGUUUUAACUCCCUCAUUAGCUUUUGCAACCAUAGUACUUCACAUAUUUCUUGCGCCACUGCUCUAUAUUUUCUCUCAGCACUGGAGCGAGCAACUACACUUUAUUUAUUACUUUUUCAUGUGACUAAGUUGCCUCCUACAAGUGUGCAGUAACCUGUAGUUGAUCUUUUAUCAUCUAAGGAAUCAGUCCAAUCGACAUCUGUAAAUGUUUCUAUUUUAAGAUGACCAGCCUUAGAAAAGAGCAGACAUUUUCCCGAUGCAGACUUCAGAUAUCGUAAUAUGCGGAAGACAAUAUGUAAAUGAGUCUCACGAGAAUCAUGCAUGUACUGACUCACAAGACUAACUGCAUAUACUAUAUCGGAUUUGGUAUGUGAGAGAUAAAUGAGUCUUCCAACUAGUCUCUGAUAUCUUCCCAAAUCAACCUGCUUGCAGUUUGUGGUUGCUCUCAAUAGGUGAUUCUGCCGGCUUACAACCCAUCAUAUCAGUCUUUUCUAGUAAAUCUAGGAUAUACUUCUUUUGAAAAAUGAAAAUCUCUUUAUUGGAUCUAACAACUUCAAUUCUCAAGAAGUAUUACUAUGUUUCUAAAUAUUUUAUUUCAAACUCUUGAAUAAGAUGUUCCUUCAACUGAGUCAUCUUCUUUGUAUCAUCUCUAGUCACCACAAUAUCAUCCACAUAAAUAAUGAGAAGAGUGACUUUAUCCUUACGAUAUUUAAUAAACAAGGUAUGAUCCGCAUUAUUUUGUUGAUAUCCAAAAGAGAUCAUAACUGUUUUAAACCGUUCAAACCAUGCUGUUAAAGACUCCAUGGAGGAAUACAUUUUUUACAUCAAACUGCUGUAAAUCCCAAUUAAGGUUAGCUGCGCAAGACAAAAGUAUCCUAAUUGUGUUCAUCUUCGCAACAGGUGCAAAUGCCUCCUGAUAGUCAAUCCCAUAAGUCUGAGUAAAUCCUUUAGCUACCAAUCUACCUUUGUACCUUUCGAUCGAUCCGUCUGCUUUGUGUUUUACAGCAAACACCCAUUUGCAACCAACUAUCUUCUUUCCCUGUUGAGGUGAAACAAGUUUCUAUGUUUCAUUCUUUGUUAAUAUUCUCAUUUCUUCAAUCAUGGCUUUCUUCCACUUGGGAUUUCCUAGAACUUCUCUCCAAUCCUGUGGAAUAAACACAGAGAAAACAGACAAGACAAAAACUCUAUAGAAGAAAGAUAGAGAGUAAUAGGAAACAAAAUUAGAUAUAGGGUACUUAGUACAAGUUCUUUUUCCCAUUUCUAAUAGCAAUAGGUUCAUAUGAUAAAUCACAAAAGAAGGAUAACUCACCAGUAUCUUCUGGAACCAAAGAAGAUUCUUGACCUGAGAUAAACUACAUAAUGAUUUUUUCAGAAUUCUCUCUCCUUGAAUACUUUUUCAAAUAUGAUUUAUCUAGAUGUCUAACAUUAUUUUCUUGAUUAAGACUUUUUGUAAUAGAAUUCUCUCUAUAUUUUUUCAGCAGUGUUAAGCAACAGAUAUAUUAUGUCAAUAUAGGGUUGCAUGGAAUUUAUGAGUCAUGACAUUACCAAUGAGCUCUCAGAGUCCCAUCUAUUAUAUUCUGAAGUACAAACAUAUGGUUUCUUCACCUCACCAAUAAUGUAACCAUACAAUCCUUUAAAUUUGAUGAACAAUGAAAAAGAUCUCGACCAAGUAAGAUAAUUAGUUCCAUCAAGUUUUACGGAACUGAUUUGUAAUGAAAGAUUAUCAAAACUAGUAACACUCACCUUUUUUGCUUAUGUCAUUUUAGAAUGCUAAAAAUAAGAAAAAAAAUACCCAGUAAUGAAAAAUGGACCUCCUAUCUGUGCCAAGGAGCAAAAAAAACCAGAAUCAGAUCUGGUUCGGCUCUAAACGGCUCGGGUUUAGUUCUAAAACCGCUCAAAGUCAGCUUGGCUCGUCUUCUUCGGAUAAAUCUCUGAACAUGCGCAAAAAAAGGAAAUGGUAUGGCCUUUUUUACCUGCAUUUAUUAAUGUGCAGCUAUAAUUUUUUACUAGUGUUUCUGGAUGUGCGGCUUAAAGUUUUAUCAGCGUUUCUGAAUCUGCGGCUGCAACCUUUUUACUGGCGCUUGAGGAUGUGCAAAUGCAACUUUUUACCAGCGCUUAUGGUUGUGCAGUUGUAUAUUAUUACCGACGCUUUCGGAGGUGCGGCUGCACUUUUUACCGAUGCCUGCAAAUGUGCAGCUUUAGUUUUUACUGGCACCUGCGAAUGUGCGGCUGUAGCUUUUUACCGGCGCUCUGAUACCAUGAAGAUUUUUAGAGAAAAUAAACUUCUAAUUUUUUAUUAUUUGUUUUGUUUACAUUCAGAAUAUAUAUAUAAACUAGUUAUUAUUAUUUUAUUUGAACUCUAAUUAUAGGAUAUAAUUAUACUAUUAGAACUUUAAAUAAUAUAAUAUUUUACUUAACAUAAAAUUCUUAUCAACACCCCUAGAUGAUGAAGAAAGUGAAUGAUUGCUCCCUGAAACUUCUUUGGAUCCAUUCGCGAACUAAUAGUGGACAUUUGAGUACAUGUGGAGGAUUGUACUUUGAUGAACAAUUAUUUUGUAAUGAAAGAAGUGGGUAGAACAACGUCUGAAUAUGUUUUGUUAUCCAACUUCUUGGCCUUAGAUGUGUAUGAAUACCAUAUUUUGUAGGAAUGAAUUUUACUUCUACUAUAUAAUUAUAUUAUGCACUCAUAUAUGUUAUGUCAUUGGACAAUGUUAUCCCACCAAGUACCGAGAUGUCACAUGAAGACUUUUCUUUAGAUAGCUGCCUAGUCACGUGACAGAGAUUUAGAGGGUUGAACAGAAGCCCACAAUAGUCACAUAGUCCAAUCUGGUCACGCUGACAACCAACCGAAAUUGCACACUACAAACAUAGAGCUGGGAAACAGAGGGAAUUAUCUCAUACUACACCAAAUUGGACUUCUCCACCUACGAUGGGAAACAAAAGAUCCUUUGAUGUGCCUCCAUUGAUGUGAGCAAUUCUUUACUAAUCAACAGACUGUCGCCUCUAAUAAAGUUAGUAUAGCAGUUUUUCACAUGUUAGGUGAAGUCCAAUUUUGAUACUAUAAACUACAGCAAAAAGAGUCAGAUAUGGCAUAGAAAACGUUUGCGGAGUAUUACACCCUACAGUUUGGACCGCUCUUACAAAGCAACCCAUUAGACAAAUUGAUUUUGAGUAACUUUAUCGAGAUCAGAAGCAAAUUGUGCAAAAACUUCUAAUUCGGCGAUUGAGCCAAUUUCAAGUUUAAUUUACCAGCUACUUGUUUCAUAACUUUAAUUUGAGCUAUAGAUCCUACUCUGGAGACCAAAAUACCUACAUUAAUAACAAGUCUGAUUCCAACAUUAAAUAGAUUGGUGGAUAAGAAUNNNNNNNNNNNNNNNNNNNNNNNNNNNNNNNNNNNNNNNNNNNNNNNNNNNNNNNNNNNNNNNNNNNNNNNNNNNNNNNNNNNNNNNNNNNNNNNNNNNNNNNNNNNNNNNNNNNNNNNNNNNNNNNNNNNNNNNNNNNNNNNNNNNNNNNNNNNNNNNNNNNNNNNNNNNNNNNNNNNNNNNNNNNNNNNNNNNNNNNNNNNNNNNNNNNNNNNNNNNNNNNNNNNNNNNNNNNNNNNNNNNNNNNNNNNNNNNNNNNNNNNNNNNNNNNNNNNNNNNNNNNNNNNNNNNNNNNNNNNNNNNNNNNNNNNNNNNNNNNNNNNNNNNNNNNNNNNNNNNNNNNNNNNNNNNNNNNNNNNNNAAUAAGGUAUUCUUGUUAUUAAUAAAAUAAGUCAGAAAUUAUCUUAAAUUACGAUAUUGGAGCUUUCUCAAACAAAAUUCAAGAUAGCGGCUCCUUUUGAUGAGUUGUAAUCUCUUAUCACAAAAUAGGUUACUCUCAUAAUAAGAAUAAGGGUAUUAACCCUUUGUUAAAAGACAACUUUGUUGUUAAUUACCCAGUGAUUCGAUCCUUGACUAGGGAAUACAACUGUUUCUUUCAGUUAUGAGCACUGGUUACUAGUGAUGGUGGGAAAUUAUGAAGGCGAGUCCUAUCUAAGGUUUUUUGUGCUUUGUUUUGGCAAUAAAAGCCGACUACGAUUUAUAAGGAAGUUAUGAUAUUUUUCUAUGCCUUUAAUACAAUGUGGAAGAAUAGAAUAUUAUGAUAUAUUAUUGAAUAGUUUAAUCAUAUAUAUACAAAACCUUAAGUAUAAGAAAACAAAAAUUAAAAUUAGGGGUAUUUUACUAUUAUACUCAUAUAUUAAAUUAUGUGUAUUCACUUUCCAUAAGAUACCAAAAAAAUGUACCAAGAUUCUGGAGCUAAGCGAUCAACUGCUAUUAGCUCUUGUGCCAAGUAGCUUAGUUUCAUAUCCUCCUUAAGGUGCUGCAAAAUGAAGGGUAACAAACAUUUCACCAAGAUGGAAGUAAUACUAGGUGAAUAUAUAUUUCAUUUGUUACAAGCCAACUUAUUGCUAAACAUGAGAAAUUAAUGUAAUCCUAAGACAAAGCUAGAUGUGGAAACAUUCUUUUAAAUCUUAUUAAUUGUUUCACGCGAAUAAGUUUUUCCUUAUUAGUUUAUUUCAGUGCUUCAAUCUCAAUCCUCUCUCAGCUAGUUAUAUGCUUCAGACACUCAUUUCAAAAAACUUCUAAUUCAAGUUUUAGAGAGUGCCUAGUAACAUCCUGCCAAUAUGCUUUCAUUUCUAUACCUAUAUGAGAAUUUCAAGUAUUAUCAAUAUCUAGAAAGAAAGACUAGCAUUUAAUUUACAUCUCCAGCCAUGUAUGUACCCAUUAUAUAAACUGCAGGUAAUUAAUGCAGGAAGAGUUACGGUUAAGCUAACUUAUCUAACAGAUAGUUUAAAAAUAGAGGAAAUUUGGGUGAGCAACAAAAGAAUAUAGAUAGACUAGAGGAAAUUAGGGAUCAAAGUGGAUAAAUUUAACAAAAAUAGAAUAAACGAGAAACAUUUGAGAGAAUAACAACCAGAAGAACAAACACAGAGAGAUCAUUGGGAAUAAAACCCAAUAAAGGAAAUUUGAAUUCAUCAUUGUCUUUCUUUUCUUUGUUGGUUUUUACAAGUCUUUAUAUAAACAUUAGCUACAAGGAAUAAAGAGAAUUAUAAAAGAGAAAUCUAAAAGAUUCUAAUUUUUAUAAUAACUAAAAUCUAUCUAAAAAAAAGUAAAAUAUUAUUGUCCCAAGUAUAAAAGAGAAAAUCUAAAAGAUCGUACUUCAUAUUAAAUUUAAAAUCUACCUAAAAGAAAACAAAAUUAUCUUAUGUGUAAGUAAACCUAAAUAAGUUUAAAAAUAUAAAAUAAUAAAAACAAUUACAAAAGAUUUCUUUAGUAGGAAAUUUACUCGAACUUAAGAUCUUCUUUCUGCAUUAUUAUUCACCACUUAGUAAAAACGCGACCUCAAAUUUGAAGAGGCAAAGCAUAGAAAUUGGAAAAGCUCAAACCUGAUCUUCCAAAUCUUAAAAAAUGUGGGAGUUUAGAUAAUCUUUAAACAAAAAUGAAAGCAUACAAAAUUAUAGGUUUCUUACGAUCAUGAAACCAACAAGAUAAAAUGAAAUGGCUAAAAAUCUCUUUAGUGCAAACAUUAUGAAUAGGAACCACCAUAGCAAGAGGUAGAACAAGAUUAUUGAAAGGAGCAAAACAAAAACAACUUUAAUAGGAGCUAAUAUCUCUUGAAUUACUGGUGAGUGAGGAGGAUUCCUAUGAAUUUCUGUUGUUGGACUUUGGAGUUUUUCAAUUGAGGUCUUCUGAAAUUGGUGGAGGCAGUGUUGAUCACCUCCUGGCAGUAGCCAGGGAAACAUGCUAAUGCACAGUCGCUGUUUAGAAAUUUUCUUUUUUUGUUCACUUAAUGAAGGAGAGACUAGGGUGCUUUAAAAAGAAAAUGUUGUUGAUGCAAGCAAAGGGUGGGGGGGGCAACUCAUAUUAAGAUCCUAUAACAAAGAUGAUUACAAGCAAACAGCCAAAAGAGUUUUUUCAAUCAUUGACUCUCAGGUAUUUCACAUGAGACAUCCAUUUACUCUUUUUGGAAAAGUAAUAACCGAACACUCAUAUCUUCUAGGGCAUAUUAAUCAUGUGAAUAAUAAGAGUCUUAAAAAUCUUAGGCACUUGAUUAUUCAUUCUUCCACACUCUUAGCUGAACACCAUUUGCCACACGAAUAGUUUUCAACUUCAAGUAAAUCUUAUAAGGAUUUAAGAAUCCUUAUCCUACUAAGUAAGCCAAGGUUUCAAGAGAUCUACAUCAUCAAAACUGAGAGUCUUCAUCAAUUUAGAGUUCUAUCAAGAUAAGAAAAGAAGAAUCCUAUUAUUACAAGGCUUAGCUGGGAUUACACUAUACUUCAUCUCAUGCUAAAAAAUCUAAAUUUUCUCUUUGAUUUUCUCAUGGAAAAUGAAUUGUUUCUACUUCAAAUUGGAAGUUUUUAAGGCAUCUUCAACACUCCUUCACCAAAGAAUCAAUUAAAUAUUGAAGUUCAAAUCCAACUAAAAUAAAGCAUAGAGAAUUCGGCCACAACACCACCACUUUGCAAGAGAAAAGUCUUUUUAUUCUACUUAAUUUAAGUCUAUUUAUUUAUUACUUUAAUAGUUUUCUAGAUUAGUUGCAAUUAGAAUUAUUACAUGAUUUUACUUUUUGAGUUCAAGUAGAAUUGGUAAGGUUUAUACUUAUAUAAAGGUCUCACCAUUAGGCCGUAAUGAUCACUUUCAAAUUAAUCAAAUCCAAGAAUUAUUCUUACUUUUAGUUUUACUAAUUAUGAGAGCUCUUUGGAGAGGUUCUUUAACAGUCUCGUUGAGUUAGAAAUUGAAUUUACUUAUCAGUGUAUUCUUGUUGCGUGUUUUUAAUUCUAUUUCUUAAUUCUCUAUUACCUUAGUUCACCUUCGCAUGUUGAUUGUGGGUUAAGUAGGAAUGAUUUAUUUAGUGAUUUAAGUUCCUGUAUGCUAAUGUUAUAUGUGGUGGUUUGGAUUGCAUGUGUUGAUCCUGGGUUCCACAUCACAUAGUUUGAGUAUUACUUAAUAAUUACGGUUUAUAAUCAUCAACAAAAUAGAACUUUUCUUAUUAGUCAAAAAAUAAGAAAUUUUUGAAUGUUUUACAAAUUCACAAGCAUUACAAACCAAUGAUUCUAACUUGUAACUUUAAAUAAAUUAGGAUAAAUACUUUCUAAAACAAAUAGUGAUGGAUAACUUAAUCUUUUAUGCAACUCCAAAGCUUCUUGAAUACGAGAUACAAACUCGCCUAUCGAAACUCGGGCUUUAGAAGGGAUCAUAGUGUUGUACUCUCCACCAAUUAUGUAGCCUAUCUUGCACUCUAUCGUAGCAAAGAAAUAAAUGAAAAGACAUAUAUGAACAUGAUCUAAUCCAUGCAUAGGAAAAUGUGUUAAUUUUGUAAAACAAUUAUCCAAGAACGAUAGUUGGUGCACGAAAACUCACAUAAAGAACUGUAGAGUAUUUAUCCAUUCCUUCUAAAGCAUAUGGAGAUAUUUGAUGUGCAAGACCAAAGACAUGUCCAGCAUUUAAGUAAUCCACUAGCUCAAAAUAAGCUUUUCCAACCUGAGUUUAGAGAUAUCAUUUCAAUAUAUUACAAUGUGGCUUUUUCUUAAGACAAAUUACAACUUGACAUUACCUUAUUCUCAUAAUUUUUUUGACAAAAAAAAAAGAAUAUUAUUAGAUAGAGGAAGAAAAACAUAUAAGUAGAGGAUAACAAACCCUCCCAUGUUGACAAAUUAAGGUAAAAAAUGAGUUAAAUAAAAAUCAGAACAAUUGCAUCUCAAUCUCCCUACAAUGUGGCCAAAGAAAUAUCUUUAAAGAAAUCACCCCUAACGGGCCACAAAAAAGGCAAUAAAAACGGUCUAUCUCUGAAGAACUACAGAGGAAAGAAAAAAUUCUUGAAAAUAUCGUAACCUUAGCAAGAGCUUUUAACCUUCCAAAUUAUAUCAAUAAAAACUCAUCCCAACAACUUGGAUUAUUGCCUUCCAAAUUAUAUCACAAUUUUUCUGUGUCAUUACUCUAAAUUAUGUUUCAGUACUGUUUCUUGCCGUCAUAUUUGUUUCUUACUCCUUUAUGUGACCAAGUUUUCCUAAGCAAACCAAUAGUAGACCUUCUAUCUUUCGUUGGACUCGUACAAUCCACAAAUAUAAAUACUUCUAUUCUCUUUGCUUCACUCUCCUUGAAGAAUAAACCUUUUUUUAGAGAGUUUUUGAGAUAUCUGAGAAUCUUGUAAAUAGUAUUUAAGCGAGUUUUUGAUGUCGAGUAUGUAUUGACUAACUAUACUGACUGCAAAGACAAUAUCUAGUCGAAUAUGUGAUAAGUAGAUUAGUUUGCCAACUAAUCUCUAAUACCUUCCUGUUUCAACUAGUUUUCUGCCUGCUUCCAUCUUCUUCUUUGUCUCAAUCGACGUAUUGGUCGGUUUGCAUCCCAGCAUGCCAAUUUCAAUUAAGAUGUCAUAUACAUAUUUUUGUUGAGAAAUGAUUAUCCCUUUCUUUAAUCUGACAACAUCCAUUCCAAAGAAUUAUCGCAUUGGUCCUAAGAUCUUGAUUUUAAAUUCAGUAGCCAAAAUUUUCUUCCCUCUAUUUCUUCUAUAUCAUCACCCUUCAUAAUUAUAUCAUAUUUAUAAACAAUUAUGAUUAUUUUCCUCCACUACUAGACUACCCAAAAGAAAAUAAAAUGAUCAGAUUAUCCUUGUUUGGUAUCCUUGUUCUUUUAUCACCUUAAAAAACCUAUCAAGUUAUGCUCUUAGUGACUUUGAGCCCGUAUAGAGAUUUCUUCAAUUUAUAGAUCUAAUAUGUUCCUAUAUCAAACCCAGGUGACAUUGUCAUAUACCCUUUUUUUCUAAAUUGUCACUAAAAAAUGCAUUUUUAAUGUCCAACUACUGAAGUGGCCAAUUUAGAUUGAUUGCUAAAGAUAGAAGAAACUCGGAUUGAGCUUAGUUUUCGCCUAUGGUGCAAAUGUUUUUAUAUAAUCAAUUACAUAAGUUUGAGUGAAUCUUUUUGCAAUUAAUGGAGAUUUAUAUCUUCCAAUAAUCCCAUUAUCCUUGUAUUUCAAUGUAAACAUUCAUUUGCAAGCAACAGUCUUUUUGCCUUUAGGCAACACUAUUAGUUCCUAGGUUGCAUUUUCUUUCCAAUACUUGCAUCUCUUCCAUGACUGCCUUACUCCACUUAGGAAUUCGUAAUGUUUCCUAUAUAUCUGUUGGAAUUUUUCUCCCUUCAGAAUUAGAGAUAAAGAUACGAUCUUGUAUACAAAGCAUCAUAAAACAUGUAUUUUGAGUAAAGAUAAAGAGUAUACGACUGAGCUAGUUUUCUAAAAGCAAUAGGAAGACUCAAAUCAACAGACUUAUUAAGUAAUAAAGAAUCACUUAUUGCUUGUUUUGACUCAGAUGCCUCAUGAUUUGUCAGAGCUAUCACCAGUUCUAAUUUUUUUAAUGCUUUGGGUAAUGAAAUCCUCAUUGUACUUUUUCUUAGAUCUUCAUCAGUAAACUAAUAUAUCUUUUCUCCUUUAUUAUUCCAAAUCUCCCUUGAGUUUAAAUUUCCUUAUAUAAAUGGUAUAUGAUGAUUGAAUAAUUUCAAAUCUCCCCUGAGUUUAAAUUUCCUUAUAUAAAUGGUAUAUGAUGAUUGAAUAAAGUGAUUGGCGAAGAUGGAUCAUAAAAACUAAGUUCAAAUGACACCAAUCUUCAUUCGAGGUUUCCCCCUUGUAAAAUAACAAGGAAAAUAGGUAAAAUAUUUCUUAUAUUUUAUUUCAAUAUGUUAGGGAUAUAUAUACAUAUAGAAGGGUUUAUGUAUAGUAACCGACAUAAAUUACUCUAUUAAUUUGGCGCCUAUAAUUAUGUUAAUAUAUAUAAAAGGAUAAUCACACAAUUAUACACGGGAAUAUUCUGUAAUCUUGUAGCAUUCCCUUUCAAACUGAAGUAUAAAUAUUAAUCAUACCCAAAUUGUUACAAAGGUACUCAGUCCGAGUUCUAUUUAGAGUCAUUAUGAAUUUAUCACCUAAUUGUUCCUUUGUCUUCACAUGAUCAGUAGAAAUCAAGUUUUCCUAAAUUUUCUCACGGAUGAAGUGACAAUCAAUCUCGAUAUGUUUGGUUCUUUCAUGAUACACUGGAUUUUAGACAAUAUGAAGGACAAUCUAAUUUUCACACCAGAAUUUUGCAGGUGAUAUGGGUUUCAAACCCACUUCAGCUAAAAGGUGAUGUAUUUAUAAGAGUUCACAUAUGGAUUGAGUCAUACCUCUAUACUUGGACUCUACACUGGAUCGAGACACAAGAUCUGCUUCUUACUUCUUCAUGAUACAAGAUUCCUACCAACAAAAAUGCAAUAACCCGUAGUAGACUGUCUAUCAAUUCUAUAUCCAACCCAAUCAACAUCUACGAAAUAUUUAAUGUGAAGGUGCCCAUAAUUGCUAAAUAAUAUGCUAAAUCCCAGAGCACUUUUUAAGUAGUACAAAAUCUGUUCCCGAGCUUUUCAAUGUUUGACUGUAGAUGCAGAUAUAAAUUGACUAACAACACUGACAUGAUAUGUAAUAUCUGAACAAGUCACUAUGAGAUAGUUCAAUUUUUCAACUAGUCGCCUGUGUUUUUUCGAAUCAUCAAGGGGAUCAUUAUCUCUUUUGUAAGAUAUACAUUUGGCAUCAUUAGUGUAUUACAUUGUUUUAUUCCUAACUUUCCAACUAGUCGCCUGUGUUUUUUCAAAUCAUCAAGGAGAUCAUCAUCUCUUUUGUAAGAUAUACAUUUGGCAUCAUUAGUGUAUUAUAUUGUUUUACUCCUAGCUUUUUGGUUUUUACAAGUAGAUUAAGUACAUAUUUCUUCUGAGAUAAAAAAAUUCAUUUUUUACUUCUUGUUACUUCGAAUUCCAUGAAGUAUUUUAAUUGACUCAAGUUUUUGGUAUUAAAACUUGAUUUGCAAAAAUGACUUGAGAGAAGAUAUUUUUGUAUCAUUAUCUCUUAUAAUAACAAUAUCAUUAAUAUAAAUAAGAAGUAUAAUACUAACUGUUGAUUAUCUAUAAAAGACUGAGUGAGUACACUUGCUCUUCUUCAGUCCAAACUCUAAAACUAAUUCACCAAACCACAUAUGGGGACUCUGCUUCCAACUAUACAAAGAUUUAUUCAAAUGAUAGACUUUCUCAUACUCCUAAACAACAAAUUUAAGUGGUUGUUCCGUAUACAUUUCUUCUAAGAGAUCAUCAUAAAGAAAUGCAUUCUUAACAUCCAACUGGUGUAAGUGUUAGUUUUAGGAGAUUGCAAUAGAGAUAAAUAAACAGACAUAUGUAACUUUGGCCACUGGAGAGAAUGUAUCAAAUUAAUCCGCCCCAUACGUGUGAGCAAAAAUUUUUGUCACAAGUCUGGCUUUAACUCUUGCCACUGAGCUAUUUGAAUUCACUUUAACUGAAAAGACUCAUUUACACCCCGCAGCUUUUUUACCUUUAGUAAAUUUACUAAAUUCUAAGUAUGAUUUUCAUCAAGAUCAUUUAUCUCCUACACAUUGUAUUAUGCUAACCAGGGUGAUUNNAAGUUAGAAAUGGGAUAAAUAGAGUUAGGAAAGGUGCAUUGACAUUUACCUUUAUGAAUACUGAUAGGAAGAUCAAGGUCAUGUGGGGAAGGAUCAAAUGACGAAAAGUUAGUGCAGGACAUGUAUCAUUAAUCUGUUGUCUUCUGUAAUAAACACGAAUAAUUGAUGGUGGUACUUGGGUAAGAGGCAUUCCAACACCAUCAUCCGUUUGCUCAACUAGGCUGAAGGCACAUUAUUCGAAGAGACACCAUUAUUUGUUUGCUGAAGAGAGACACUUAAUGUGAACCUUAUAGAUGAGCCACUCAUUGUCUUCUCUCUGACUUGUAAUCUCCGAAAAACAAUAUCAGUUGAUAUCAAAUAUUUAUUGAGAUCUGAAGAGUAGCAAUGGUAUCCUUUUUUAAAGUAAGAAUAUCCCAAAAAAAUACAUUUCAAGGCAUUUGGGUCCAACUUUGUAACAUUAGGCCGCACAUUGCGAACAUAAUAGGUGCUACCAACUAUUUGAGACUGCACUGAAAACAAUGACUUAUUCGAAAAGAGAAUAUUGUAAGGAAUCUCACCAUCAAGAAUUGUAGAUGCAAAUGAUUAACUAAGAAGCAGGCGUUAGAAACAGGAUCGGUCCAGAAUUUCUUAGGGAAAUGUGUUUAGAACAAAAGGGCUCAAGUACUCUCAAGUAAGUGUUUGUUUUUUCUCUCAACCGUUUUGAGAGAGUAUGCCAACACAAGAAGUUUAGUGAGUGAUCUCUUGUUGAGUCAGAUAAUUCUGAAAUGAAUCUGACAUCUAAUCUCUAAUCUUAUCACUUUGUAAUUUAUGUAUAGGACAUUAAAUUAAAUUUUGAUCUCUGUAUGAAAGACACAAAAGUGAUAGAAUAAUUUUUCAUAAAAUAUAUUCAAACCAUUCGAGAAAAAUCAUUUACAAGCGUAACAAAAUAUUUAAAUUGCGUUUUAGACACAACAUGACAAGGACCCCAAAUAUCUGAAUGAACUACUUCAAAAACAUACUCAACUUGUUUAUUGAUUCUUGAACUUGAUGAGGUGCGGUAAUGUUUUACAAAUUGACAUGACUCACAAUCUAAUGAAGGUACGUCAUGAAAUCAAGAAUAUAACUUCUUUAACAUAGUAAGAGCAAAUGUCUUAAUAGAUAAUAUGCUUCAAAUGGAGCAAUGACACUAGAGUAAACAACUGAUCGAAGCACUCAAGUAUCAAGAGUGUAAAGAACAUCUAAUACAUGUCUUUUGCCAAUAAUCUACUUCGUCAUAAGAUCCCAAGAAAGAAUGAGAUACAACAAUUAAAAUUUUUAGUAAGUUUAUAUAGACUUAAGGCAGAUGAUGGGAUAAUUAUGGAAGUUGGUUUUAUAGUCCUAACUGAGAGAAUUUUAUAUAUUCAUCAAUUCUCGGAUAAGGGGAGCUAACAGUAGUAGCAACAGCAGUGAUAUUAUGUAUUCUCUUAUUAUGAUUCUAUAAUUUCUUACAAUGCCAUUUUGUUCAUAUUUGCUCAUGCCAGUAGUAGCAAAUAAUAUUGCUCGAAUCAUUGUUUCGAUUAUCCAUAGCCUUGUUUCCUCUUUUAUUACUAUUCCUUCCUCCUCUAUUGGCAACAAGAAUAUUUAUUUACUAAUUAGGUGUAGUAUUUUCUGUACUUAGUACUCUGUAGAAAACUUUUUAAAGAGACGUGAGCUCAGAGCUGAAUAAAAUCUGAGAUGUGACAAUCUUAAAUUUAGAUGGAAGACUAGUUUAGAAACUCAUUAUGACCAUCUACUAUUUCUGGAUUUGUUGUACACUAAUAUCCUGCUGAAUGAUAAAAGUACAUUUAGUUCAUCAUAUAUCUUCCUGAAUUCCAUAAAAUUAUGAGUUGGCCUCCUUUUUUCACCACGCUAAAAACCCUUGCAAACAUUAUACAUGCGAGACACAUUUUUUUUUGCCUAAAUACAAAAACUCCAGAUUGUCCAUUAGUUCUUGUUACAAGAUUAUAGAAUAUUCCCGUGUAUAGUAGCGUGAUUAUCUUACCAUAUAUAUUAACAUAAUUAGGCAGCAAAUUAAUAGGGUAAUUUAUGUUUGUUAUUAUAUAUAUAUCUGUUUUGUAUGUAUAUAUAUCCCUAACCUUAUUGGAAUGAAAUAAAAAGAAAUAUUUAUAUAUUUUCCUAACUUUUUACAUGGUAUCUAGAGCUAGGAUUAGGGUUUAACAUGUCAGAUUAGAUCAGACCAAAAAAGAGGUUGAAUAACUCAUUCCCAUGUCGACAGUAGUCGACAGAACCGACUUCUGAUCAGUUUAGAGUGCGGCCGGCACGGUGAUGAAGCAGAAGAAGUCGGAUCGACACAAAACUGAAUCCACGCGGCAAUCUUUCGUGCACAUCUAGAACCAGGAAGAUGAGCGGCAGUCACACAAAAACAAAAGCCGAACAAGCGUUACCAGAGAGCCGGAGAGGAGGAAGCUGAGGCAAAGGCCAGAUUGCGCGACAAAUAGAUUCCAAUAGUUUUUUGGCCCAAUUUUACGAGACUCAUUUCAGAUUUGGGUGCACCACGAUUCUGUGAUGAUUUCUGCAACGGUGGUGGGUGGAUUCCCAGUGGUGGCAGUGAGGUUCUGGUGGCGGCUGUGCGUGUCGAGAUAUUCUUUCUACAUCUGAAUUUUGGUUUAUUUGUAGUGUUUUUUGUGUAUCUCUGGUUGCUGUAUUUUGGAUGUUCUAAGUGGCAUUUUUUAAUUUCUAAAUCAAAAUGAGCGAUAAUAAAUUCUCUGUAAAUGAGAUAGUCUCAACUUUGUCAAAGAUUACUGAACAUAAACUGAAUAGCACCAAUUAUUUGAAGUUGAGUAAAGCUAUUAGGGUUUAUCUACGUAGUUUUGAUAAAGAUGAUCACUUGAUUCAAAACUCUCCUACUGAUGGAAUUAAAUAAGUUUGAGAUUAUUCACAAUUCUUCCUACAGAUUAGAAAUUCAAUUGACAGUGAGGUAAUUGUCUUAAUUAAUCUCUGAGUUCGUUAAAGAACUAAUGGAUUAUUUAGAAUUUUUGUAUUCAUGCAAAGGAAAUGUCUCGCAUGUAUAAUAUUUGUAAGGCCUUCUACUGUGCUAAGAAUGUAGUCAAAUCUCUCACAGCUUACUUCAUGGAGUUCAAGAAGACAUAUUUGGAGUUUAAUAUACUUUUGUCAUUUAGUGCUGAUAUCAAGGGAUAGCUAAUCCAAAGAAAGCAGAUAAUCAUAAUGAGUUUCUUGGCUGGUCUUUCAUUUGAAUUUGAGACUAUCAAGUCUAAAAUUCUAUCCGGUUCGGGAAUCACCUCUUUUCAGGAAGUUUUUAGUAAGGUAUUGCAUACAGAGAAUACUACACUCAAUUAGCAUACCAAUAUUUUUGUUGCCAAAGGAGGAGGAAGAAAUAAUAGUAGAGGAGGAAACAAGGCAAUGGAUAAUCAGGACAAUGACUUAAGCAAUAUUAUUUGCUACUACUGGCAUGAAUAAGGACAUACAAAGCGCCAAUGCAAGAAAUUACAAAAUCAAAAUCAGAUGAUACAAACUGCUAAUAUGACAUCCUGGUAACGGUGUCCAAUAACAUAACAGAUAUGAGUGCAUAAAAGAAUUAUACAGCAGAAGUAAUAUUCAUCCCUUACAAAAUAUGUUCAUAUACAUCUAAGUCCAAAAAGUUGGCUAACAAAACAUAUAUAUACGUUAUUCUAGUCACUUCUUUCAUUACAAAAAUAUAUGGUUCAUCAUAGUACAAUCAUCCACAUGUAGUAAAAUGUCCACUACUGGUCUGUGAAUGGAUCCAAACAAGUUUCGAGAGGCAACUCGGGGAGUGAUUCUUCACUUUCCUCAUCGUCUGGGGAAAAAUGAAUUGAGGCGAGUUUUAUAAAACUCAAUAAGAGUAAUAAUAUUUAAAUUACACUACUAAAGUUUUAAAAGUUGUUUAUUUCAAAAAACGUGUCGUUACUACAAUCAGUGGAACUUACUAUUGGAGACCGUUGCAGAUUAGAUUCAUUUAAAAUACCAUCGAAAACGUUAUACUUUAAUUAAUUGGAAUACAUUUUGAAAUACCAAUUUCAAACAUAAACAAUAAAACAGAACAAUGAGAAAUAUAUUUGAAACCAACAGAACCAUCCAAAAUAUAGCAUGACAUGAUGGAACAGUGAGAAACAUACUCAACUCAACAAGCUUUCUAAAACAGGCGACCAACAACAGUCCUCCCUAAACAAUUAAGUUAUUCGGUUCAGUUACAAUGUUUACAGAUAUUCGUGCAAAGUCAUUUUAACCUAUAUCAAUAGAUGGCAGAGGGAAUUUCCAACUACCACUGUAAAUGAGAAUCAAUUCAAUUCGAUAUACAGUAAUACAGUUGGAGACUAUGACCACGUCUAUACUUCGCCACUGUAGCUCCUAUAAUCAGUCCCGACCGUUUUUAUCAGAAGAAAGGAUAGUAUUAUUCACAGGGAGCGAUUCACCAAUAAUCGAUAACAAUCAUAUUCGGUAACCUCUUAGUGAUAAUAGUCAAACAGAUUUAAAUUAUUUCUUUAUUUUCUUAACAAUUACAGAAUCAUAAUAUAAGUUACAGUUCAUGGCAUUCGUCUCGACCCAUUAGGUCCAUCAAACCGAUCCUACAAACUUACCAGAUUCUCUAUUUCUUAAACUACCUUGAUUUCCAAUUGUUUGGGGCUAUUUAGGCCUUUUACAAUGAACCAGAACCCAACAACAGUCUUCUGAUCAGAAUCAUACCUGAUCGGAACCCACUAACGACACAACAAACUCAAUGAAGGGUCCAUUCACUAAACUAGCCCAAUAAGGACCCAACACUUGAAUUAGACCCAGUGGGGGUCCACUAACUAAUUCAGCCCAUUUGGGCCCAUUGACCCGACCAGAACCCAGUGAGGGUCUUUAAACCGAAUCAGACCCGAUGGUGUCCACUAAACCUUACCCAGACCCGGUGGGGGUCCGCAUGUCAGCCCGGCCCAACAAGGGCUUAUUCGAUGGAAACUGGCCCAUAUAGGGCCCAUAUACCUGGAUUGGGCUGUCAGGUUCUCUUCUCGAACCAAGGCCUAAUUGGAUGACCCUCUUGGCCUUCGCCCAAGGACACGGCAGAGGGCCCAAUCCCGCACACACGACAUGUCGCACGAGCGGCAUGCUCCGGUAAGUUGUCCCAUGUGCACUUGGGCGUGCGAGGACAUACACUUACGCGCACUACGCGCAUUAAUGCGUGCGCACUCGGCCAGGCAGCGCAACACAGCAUAUUGCGCAUGCCACGCCUGCCCCGCGCAUGCACAGGGAUCUCAGCGUGCGAACAAGCCUGACAAGCCCCGAGCCCAUGCACACAUGGUGACAUGCGCACACACAAACUCGCAGCAGGCCCCCUCGACGCACUGACACACCUGGCUGGGCUUAUGCACCUGCGAACAGCUACUGCGCACAUGCAGCAAGCCAAGGACCAUGUUCCUCGUGCACAGUCGUGACACAGCCGCAACCCGUGACCCAUUUUGGAACCUUGGUGCCCUAAACCGAUUCCGAACAAUUUUUACCGCUCCAAAACUAUCCAUUUCAAACCUCCAUAACUCAUUUCACGUAUGCACCAUCGCUUUCACAACAAGCUUGAAACAAAACACUUUGAAUAAAUCAAACAUUCAACAAAAUGCAAUUAUUAGGCGACACACAUGCAUGCAUGAAACAAAUCAAAACCAACAUGCAAUUUCAUUAUUUUAAACAUUUCAAAAGCUUAGAAAACGCAUUAGAAGGGUGAGAAGAAAUACCAAAACCCUUACCUCAACUAUCAAGCUUUCAGGUCCCAAAGAAAGCAAUGAAACUUCGAGGUUUCCAAAGAGAUAACAGUUAUUAGUGGCUGUCCGAGAAGAGUGCAGAAUGUUUCUACAAUUUGAGGAAGAAGAAAGGUUUAAGGGUGAUGUUUUUGGCAAAGUGAAGAAAAAGAGUCAGGAAAGAGGCUUACCUUUUGGCUAAAGGAGGUGGCACGAGAAAAGCUUACGGUGGGGGAGUAAAAGCUUGAAGCUUCUCGGUUGGCACUAAACUCUCUCUCUCUCAAGCCUCUCUUUCUCUCGGUUAAGUGAAGAAGAAGAGGAAGAGAAGAAAUAAAGGAAAUGAAGAAGAGAGAGAGCAAAUUGGGUUUAAAUAACCAAGGAAAGAUGCAUGCGAUCCGUCAGAUCCCAUGCAAUUCAUCUUGGCCAUCGAUCGGCCUUAGUGGCCGAUCGGCGGUCAUGUCAUGGAAUGCAUGAACGCCAUGUGGCUGUCGUGACAGCAUACUGCAAUGGCACCGCUAAUAUUGUUGUUGUUACUGUUAGCUUCUCUUAUGAGAAAAUUUGAUUUCAGUUAACGAGUAUAUAAAAAUCUCUCAGUUUCAAGAAUCUUUAAAUAAAUGCACACCGGUCAUUACUUCUUCUAAAUCAGGUAAAAAAUAUCUUAUUUUCUCUUCAAACAAAUAGGUGAUUGAUUUUGGUGCUACAAAUCACAUGACAAAUAACCCUAAUAUAUUCUCUACUUUUCGAUCACACAAAAAACACAUUCUCCUAUAACCAUUACUGAUGAGUCAACCUAUAAUAUUAUGGGUUCUAGGACUAUAAAACCAAUUUCAUCCUUUACUUUGUCAUCUGUAUUAAGUUUACCUAAACUUAUUUUCAAUUUGAUUUAUGUAAGUAAACCUACUAAACAUCUUAAUUGUUGUGUUUCAUUCUUUCCUGAUCAUUGUUUUUUUUAAGAUCUUAUGAUGAAAUAAAUUAAGAACAUUUAUUAGAAGGUCUCUACAUUCUUAAUACUUGGGUGCUUCGAUCAGUUGCUUGCUCUGGUGUCAUCUCUCUAUUUGAAACACAUUAUCAAUUGGGACAUCCGUCUCUCACUGUGUUGAAAAAGCUAUAUCCUCAUUUUCAUGAUAUAUUUUCAUUAGGUUGUGAGUCAUAUCAAUUAGCAAAGUAUCACCAUAAUUCGUUAAAGAAUAUCCUGUUCUUCUCCUCACUGUCUAGUUCUACAAAUUAGGUGGAUGAUGAGUAGCUCAUCUAUUGGCUCCCGCUCAGUACCUCUACCAAGCAACCACAAAAUAGUGUUUCUUCCGAUGUACCUCCAGUUCUAAUUGAGUAAACUAAUGAUGGUAUGCCUCCGACUCAAUAAGAAGCGUCAAUUGUUCGUGUUUAUUUCAGAAGACAACAGACCAACGAUAUAUGUCCUACUAGUUUUUUCGUUAUCUGAUCCUUGCUCACAUGAUCUUGAUUUUCUCAUAAGUUUUCAUAAAAGUACAAGUCAAUGCACCUUUCCUAACUCUAAUUAUCUCAUUGCUAAUUUUUUUUCAUAUAAUCACUUGUCUCCUUCAUCUAUCUCUUUAAUUAACUCUAUAGAUUCAAUUUUUAUGCGCAAAACAAUUAAGAAAACUCUAAAUCACCCUGAUUGAUGUAAUGCAAUGUUUGAAAAGAGAAAUAAUCUUGAUGAAAAUCAUACUUGAAAUUUGGUGAAUUUACCCAAAGACAAAAAGGUUAUAGGGUGCAAAUGAGUAUUUUCAAUUAAAGUGAAUACAGAUGCCUCUGUGACAAGACUUAAAGGUAGACUGGUAGCGAAAAAUUAUACUCAGAUUUAUGGGGUUGAUUAUUCUGAUACAUUCUCUCUAGUGACAAAACUUACCCCUAUCCGUUUAUUCGUCUUUAUUGUAAUCUCCCGAAACUAGCGCUUAUACCAAUUGGAUAUUAAGAUGCAUUUUUUCAUUGUGAUCUUUUAGAAGAAGUGUAUAUGGAGCAACCACCUGAAUUUGUUACUUAGUGGGAAUAAGAGAAAAUAUGUCAUUUAAAAAAAUCUUUAUAUGGUUUAAAGCAGAAUCCCCGUGCGUGGUUUGACAAGUUUAGUGAAGUAAUCUUAGAGUUUGGAUUGAAGAAGAGUAAGUGUGAUACUUCGGUCUUCUAUAGACAAUCAACUGUUGGUAUUAUACUUCUUAUUUUUUAUGUUAAUGAUAUUAUCAUUAUAGGAGAUGAUUAUGCAAGAAUAUCUUCUUGCAAAUCAUUUUUGCAUAUCAAGUUUCACAUCAAAUAAUUGAGGCAGCUAAAAUAUUUCUUGGGAGUUGAAGUAACAAGCAACAAGAAAGGGAUUUUCUUAUUUCAGAAAAAAUAUGUACUUGAUUUACUUGCAGAGAGCGAAAAAGUAAGAGUUAAACCAUGCAAUACACCAAUAAUGUCAAAUGUUACAUCCUACAAAAAAUGAUGGUGAUCCCCUUGAUGAUCCAAAAAAAUAUAGAUGACUAGUUAGAAAAUUAAACUACCUCACAGUAACUCGCCCAAAUAUAGUAUAUCUUGUCAGUGUUGUUAGUCAAUUUAUGUCGACACCUACAAUCAAACACUGAAAGGUUCUAAAACAAAUUUUAUACUAUUUAAAAUGUGUUCCGGGACUUGGCAUAUUAUUUAGCAAUUAUGAGCACACUCACAUUGAAUGGUUUGAAGAUACUGAUUGGAUUAAAUUUAAAAUUAAUACACGGUUCACUACGAACUAUUAUGUUUUUGUUGGUGGGAACCUCAUAUCAUGGAGAAGUAACAAACAAACUGUUGUAUCUCAGUCCAGUGCAAAAUCCGAGUAUAGAGUUAUGACUCAGUCCACAUGCGAAAUCUUAUGGAUACAUCACAUUUUACCUGAAGUGGAUUUAAACCCCAUAUCACCUGCAAAACCUGGUGUGAUAAUCAGGUUGUUUUUCAUAUUAUCUCAAAUUCGGUAUAUCAUAAAAGAACCGAACAUAUUGACAUUGAUUGUCACUUCAUCCAUGAGAAGAUUUAGAAAAACUUGAUAUCUACUAGCAUGUGAAGACAAGGAAACAACUAAGUAAUAUAUUCACAAAUCCUCUAAAUGAAACUCGAACUGAGUGUCUUCGUAAUAAGGUAGGCAUGAUUAAUAUUUAUGCUCCAACUUGAGGGGGAGUGUUACAAGAUUACAGAAUAUUCUUGUGUAUUAUGUAAUUACCUUUUCAUAUAUAUUAGCAUAAUUAGACAGCAAAUUAAUAGGGUAAUUUAUGUUUAUUACCAUAAAUAAACUCAUCUGUAUGUGUAUAUAUCCCUAAUCCUAUUGGAAUGAAAUAACAAGAAAUAUUCACAUAUAUUCCUAAUCUUUUACAGUUCUUUAACAAACACACAAUAAUUAAUUAGAUCAAUUAUUUCACUGUUAAUUGAAUUUCUAAUUUGCAAGAAUAACCGUGUAUCACCUUUUAGUCAUGCUUGUCUAGUUUCAUCAGUGAAAGGGUGUUGAACUAAGUGAUUAUCUUUGUCAAUACUGCAUAGAUAAACUCUAAUAAUCUUGUUUCACUACAAAUAAUUGGUACCAUUCAGUUUAUGUUCAAUAAUUUUUGGCAAAACUGGAACUAUCUUACUUACGAAAAAUUUGUUAUUACCCAUUUUAAUUUAAAAAAUAAGAUGUCACCCAAAACACCCAGAUAAACAGCAACCAGAGAUAGAUAGAAAAAUAAAACACUACAAAUAAAUCACAAAUCACCGGAAGCUCACGGCCACCAUCGGAAAAUCGUUCACUACUGCAUGCGCCGCCACCGGAAACCACACACACCCCCUUGAUCUAGCCAGGAAACACCACAGAAACACGCACCUGCUCAAAUCUGGUACGGAUUUGGUGAAAGCACACCGAAAAACCACCGGAAUUCGUCUUCGCCAACUACCCGCGUGUUCUCUCUCCAGCUUCCUGGUUUCAAGAUCACGCUUCACCACCAUCUGCUUUAGUCUUCUUGUGCACUGAAGGGUUGCGCAGCUUCACCAGAAGAUCUAAACAAAUUGCCGCCGUGCAUUCUCUUUCCAGCCUACCACGACUCCUUUAGUAAGUCGUGCCACGCACUGUCGAAACAUCUAAUCGAGCGCUUCUUCGGUGUUGGUUCAAACCUGAACCACCAGUGGUUGCCCCUACACAUAUCCUACCACUACCACUUUUCUAGUUUUAGGUGGUGGUCGGGGAUAAGAAAAAACACCAAAUCUAUUUUCCUCUUUCCCUUUUUUUAUUUUUUGUCUCGCUCUCUAACCUAUCUCUUAUACCAUGUGAACUAAUAGAGAAAAUAGGUAAAAUAUUUCUUGUGUUUUAUUUCAGGAGGUUCGGGAUAUAUAUAUACAUACAAAAGAGUCUAUAAAUAAUAACCAACAAAAAUUACUUUAUUAAUUUUUUGCUUAUAAUUAUGCUAAUUUAUAUGGAAAGAUAAUCAUGUUAAUUACACAGAAAUAAUCUAUAAUCUUGUAACACCCCUAAACAUUAAUGUCCUAAAAGUAAAAGUGUGUUUGGAUGACUUUUAAAAUGAUUCAUUAAUGUAUGGUAUUGUAUGCCAAUGACAGAGUAUAGUAAUGGCAAAGUUAUACCAUGUUUGGAAAGAUUGUGUAUUAAUGUAUGGUAAUGAUAGUUGUUUUUGUUUAGAUUGAUAGGAUGGUAUAGUUGUAUAUUUGAUCAAAAUACCUAUUUUACCCAUAUUUCAUUAUAUGUAAUAAUAAAUGAAAAAAUAAAAAGAGAAAAGAUAAAAAAAUAUAUGUACUUAAAUAAAUAUAUAUUUAAUUAUAUAUUAUAUAUGCAUAUAUAUAACCAAAUAUAUUAUAUAUGUGUAUAUAUAUAUAUUAAAUAUACAGAUGUAUGUAUAUAUAUAAUUAAAUAUAUAUAAUUAAAAAUAUAUGAAUAUAUAUAAUAAAAUAAAUAAAUUUUAUAAAAAAGAAGAUCAAGUGGCAAUAACAAAAAAGAGUAUCGGUAAAAAUGGAAUAAAAAAUAUCAAACCACACAAAACCACUGAUUUGGUGGUUUAAAAAAAUGGAGAAAAUGGUGGUUUUGAGAACCAUGUAACAACUAACGAAAAAUCAUAUCAUAUAUCUGAAAAUACAAACAAAUAAAGUAAAAUAUGAAAUUACCGUAUCAUGCAUUAAUAAAUUACCAUCCAAACACACCCUAAAGAGUAUUUUCAAAGAAUGUAACAUCAAGGCUGACCAACACUCAACAUGUACAUGCUUCUUCCUCUUCUUCCUUUCUUGUUAGUAUGCUCCAAUCAUACUAUCAUUACAGAAUUCAUGUGAAUCUAGAUAUCAAGCAAGAAAUCAUAACAAAAAAUUUUGCCUUCACUUCAUUAGGCAGGUCAGGCCUCAACACAAUUAGAAAACUUUUGUCCCCAGCUCCAAUUUUGACCCAAAAUUUGAGCAUAGUUUUUAGAUAAGAUUUUUUCUUUUGCCGACUUUUGUCUUAGGCUGGCCCAUGUGUAUUAUUUCUGAUGAUUUGCUUUUAUUUGCAUGUAUCUUUGGUACUACUGGUUUUAACACUUUAUACAAAAAAAUUAUUACAAAUCAUUUUUUAAUUAAAAUGCGAACAGAAGUUUAUACCCAAAGAAACAAUUUUCAUUACCUGGGAAAGAAUCCAUGCUGUAUUAUAGUGCUUCUGUGGAAGCUUUUGAUAGACAUUUAGAGCCUCCUGCAGUGCCAACCAAUGAUAUCAACUUUUUGCCCUUUUUCCUCUCUUCUUUGGAGAGUUGUUAGAUAAUUUAUACAUUAAAAUGAUAUCAAGACCUCUUUUCCAAAUUGGAUAUGUUUUCUGAAUCAACAAUACCUGACACCUAUACAUGCACAAAAGUCUAUAGCCCUCCCCAAUAUGCCUCAUGAGAUCCAGUGUAUCUGUGAUGCCAGAUACAAUACUUGAACUAUCUGUGAUAGAACCACUAGGUUUCAUACUCAAAUUUUUUUGGAAGGAUCUAUCAUUAGCAAAUGAAGAUGUACUUGAAAUCACAGCUGUAUAAUCUGAACUAGCAUCACCAGGGGUCUGAAGCCAUUUCCCUACAUUGCGAAAACAAUCAUGUCAAAAUGGAAUGAUGUUUGUUCUCACUCAUUCACAAUCAGAAAUAGAAAUACCACUCAUAUGAUACAAUGCGGAACCAAUGCGAAUGCUACAAAAUUGGAUAUGUUCUUCAUUUUUUCCUGAUCUUUUUCCUAAAAUAAGAGCAGACAAGUGCCUAUUACUUGAAUCUUAACUUCCCUCAAAAUCACAAGCACGCUGACCUACAGAAGGAUAGUAGGUUCAAUUAGUAUGUAACUGAUCAGAGCCUUAUAGCCUCUUAUUUUUCAUGAAAAGGAAUCAUCUUUGGCUGGCAGACAUGUGCAGAGAUCUGAGUAAGCCAGUUAUUUAUUAUUCAUUAAUGCCAAUGGUCCUCACUCUAUACAAAGCCAAUACUUACAGCUUUCCUCAAUUUCUGCCUCCCUUCAGCUUGCCCCUCGGAAAUAGCAAUACCCUCAUAGCAAACAAACAUAAAUUUCCUAUUCUUUCAACCUCUUACAUGUGGAUAUCUUGAGGAUUUUUUUGUCCCUAGGUAAAUUCCACCCCUAUCAAUAACAAGGAUAAGCUAUUCUAACUUUUUCUAUUUCUAGUAAGCAUGAAAAGAAACCACAUGAUAUAACUGAAGCAGACAAAAUAAACUAGAAAAACAUUUCAGAUUAAAGAUCUAAAACAGACAUAAGAUAGACUCCUAAUCUAGCGAGCUUUAAUGUGUUAAAGUCCAUUUUGGUGGCAAUUUCAUAUUUUGAAAGUGAUGAUCAUCUAUUCAAUGAAUCUAUUAGACUAUAUAUAAUCAAGUUGAACAGGUUUCUAUAAACUUCAAAUUGUUGGAUAUUGGUCAUCCAACUUACUACUUCGGUUGGUAUGAAGCAAGAUGGCAGGAGUUCAAUGUUGACUAGCCCAUUUCUAUUAGGAAUAAAAUAAAACAAAAAUUUAACACCAUAUAUGGUAGGCCUAUACAGGGUACAGUUCAACUUUCAAUCUAAUGCCCAUAUGCAUGAGGAACAAAUCAAAAUAUAAAUAAUUUAUUCAUUUUCUAUUGGUUUAAGCUUUUCCAAUCAUCUAACUUUACUAUUUCAUAUAUAUAUAUAUAUAUAUAUAUAUAUACACACACACACACACACAUUGAUUGACAUUUCAGCUACUUAAUUUAUCUAGAGUUUAAAAUAAAAUAAAUAAACAUAACAUGAAACUCACAUAGAUAUAACGUUACCUUCCUUAAUAUGUUCAUUUUGGCCUUUAUCAUCCGUUGAAGAAUGAAAUGAUAAGGGGUUCAAUGUACAUGUUGAGGCAGUUGCAUUCUUGCGUGCAGCAAUUCUAGCACUUCGGCGCAGUCGAAAAUCAGAAGUGAACCUUCUAGGGACCUUUAACACGACAAACAGAAACCAUUUUAGGAUUUUCUUUUUCAAAUUAACUGCAGUGGUAUAAAGUAAUAAAGAAGAGAGACUGGCACACUAUGGGGGUAGUGCAACCACAUCUAGGCUUUUCAAAUAACUUUUACUUUCCAGGAGUGAAGUCCAAGGCAGUAAUGAUCUCAUUUCCAAAAGGUUCUAUUUCUGGUUGUUUUAAAAGUUAGUUAUGCCUCUUGUUAGUGGUUACAUUUGCCACCAUGGGUAGUUCUAUGGUUCUUUCGUAACAUUUGGAAAUGAAACAGUUAAGCAGACUUCAUUUUAUAGAAAGAGAUAAGGAAAGAGAAGAUAGAAUCUAUAGGAGGAUAAGCUAUUAUCCUCCACAAAAUUUUUAAAAGGAUUACAAUAAUUUUUUUUUAUUAUCCUCCACAAAAUUUUUAAAAGGAUUACAAUAAUUUUUUUUUAUAAAAAAAAAAGAAUCUUAUAAGAGAACAAUAAAACUAAAGAAUUAGCACAAUAUAGUAACUCAAUGCAUCUUAAGUGCAGAAAGAGAAAUCCCCCUAAAGAUCCAUGCACUGUACCCAAAGCAGAAGCUAAAUGCACAUUCAUAUCCCACAAUUCAGUAAAGAAUAGAAACUCUUAUCAAAAUUCUAGAAUUUGCCUUCAACCACAGGACCCAAAAACCUAGAAAAACUGCUCCACUCCAAAGUGUGGAAUGCUCUUUGCUCCUUCCAAAAUCAAAAAGAGAAGUAGAAAUGAAAAUCUCUAAGUUUGACGGGUAAGAACCCAAAAGGAGAAGAAAAAAACACUACUCCAAACCUUCCAAGCCAUACCACAAUGUAGAAAAAAAAAUGAUUGUUAUGUUGUCAAUUACAAAAACAUAUGAAGCACAUAUCAGAGGAAAGAACAAUUUAGAAGAGGUGAUCAAAGAAAGAUCUACAGGUAUAGGCCCCUAAAGGAUCAAGAGACCAAAUUCUAGAGCAAGGGUUGGAAAAGUAACAAAAUGAAUCCAGCAAAAAUAUCAAAGACACUAAGUCAGAUGUUUCUUGGUUAUUGAGAUUUCUUAAAAAAGUAAAGAUUCCAAGAUACAUGAUUAUCAUGUAAGGACAAAAAGGAAAGAAUUGGAGAAUUAUGUUUACAAGAUAGUCCAUAAAGGCUAGAGAAAAAGAUGCAAGUAUAGUCCCCACACAGAUCUCCCCAAACAAAAACAGAGAUAAAGACUCAUCCCCUUUCCCACCCAUGGAUCUUCCCAAACAGAAAAAGAAAAUGAGAUUCAUCCCCCAACCUCACCUGCACAAGCAAGUCAAAUAGAAAAUAUGCCUUACUGAUUACUUUUUAGUGGCUUCUGUGGCCGAAGAAAGAACCUGAUUCAAUGUCGCAAAAUUUCUAGUAUAACACAAACUUACUUAUCACCCUACACCACAAAAAUAUCAAGUUCCUUUCUGGAACACCAUAACCAUUUGGCAAAGACAACAAUGUUCCAGGACACUAAAUUUCAGGACCAAACCCACCUUCUUAGGAAGGCAAUACCUCCCAUUUCCAAAGAUGGUCCCUCUAUUCUCGACAAAUUCCAUGACUUUCCCAAUCCUCUUAUUCAGAGAAACUUAGUUUCUUCCUAAACUUAAAGAUUGUUGGGUUCUCUAUGAUAAGCUACUCCUAAGCUUCAAAACAGAUUGCGAAGAACAGAAUAAUCAAACAAUAUUUUAAUUCCCAACUUGAUUUUCCAACAACCAAACCCAUAACUAAAUUCCAAAUUAGGUUUUGUAUGGCAUCCACAAACUUUCAUUGUAGGUUAUUGAAAAUUUUGGAGAAAAUAAACUUCCAAUUUUAUUUCUUGUAUGUUUUGGGUUUACACUUAGCAGAUAUAUAUAUAGAGUAAUUAUCCUUAUUUUAAGAAAAUUUUAAUUAUAUGAUAUAUCUUUAUAAUUAAAACUUUAACUAUAGCUUAAUACUUUACUUAACAUAGAGUCAUUAUCAACACUCCCCCUUAAGUUGGCGCAAAAAUAUCACACACACUGAACUUGCAAACCAAGUUCUGAAGAGAUUUAUUGCUUAAUACUUUACUUAACAUAGAAUCAUUAUCAACACUCCCCCUUAAGUUGGCGCAAAAAUAUCACACACGUCAAACUUGCAAACCAAGUUCUGAAGAGAUUUAUUGCAUAGUCCUUUAGUGAAAAUAUUAGCCACCUGUUCACCAAAAAAUACAUGAUAUAAGUAUAAAUAGCUACCAACCACCUUCUCUUUUAUGAAAUGUCGAUCAAUUUCAAUGUGUUUUGUCCUAUCAUGUUGAACUGGAUUAUGAGCAAUGUUAAGAGAUGCUUUAUUGUCACAAAAUAGAAAUAGUCUCUCCUCUUUAAACAAUUUUAAUUCCCUCAUUAGUUUUUGCAACUAUAAUAAUUCACAAAUUCUUUGGGUCAUUGCUCUAUACUCUGUCUCUGCACUAGAGUGGUACUACACUUUGUUUNNNNNNNNNNNNNNNNNNNNNNNNNNNNNNNNNNNNNNNNNNNNNNNNNNNNNNNNNNNNNNNNNNNNNNNNNNNNNNNNNNNNNNNNNNNNNNNNNNNNNNNNNNNNNNNNNNNNNNNNNNNNNNNNNNNNNNNNNNNNNNNNNNNNNNNNNNNNNNNNNNNNNNNNNNNNNNNNNNNNNNNNNNNNNNNNNNNNNNNNNNNNNNNNNNNNNNNNNNNNNNNNNNNNNNNNNNNNNNNNNNNNNNNNNNNNNNNNNNNNNNNNNNNNNNNNNNNNNNNNNNNNNNNNNNNNNNNNNNNNNNNNNNNNNNNNNNNNNNNNNNNNNNNNNUCUUUAUUCACCACAAUAUCAUCUACAUAAAUAAUGAAAAGAGUGACCUUACUCUCACGAUAUUUGAUAAACAGGGUAUGAUCAGCAUUGCUUUAUUGAUAUGCAAAAGAUAUCAUAACUCUUCAAAACUGUUCAAACCAUACUCUUGGAGACUGCUUUAAUCUGUAUAAGACCCUUUUUAAUUUGCGAACUUUUCUUUGCGUCCUCUUAUCUUCAAACCCAAUUGAAAUUUUCAUGUAUACCUCUUCCUCUAAGUUUCCAUGGAAGAAUGCAUUUUUUACAUCAGAGUGUUGUAAAUCUCAAUCAAGAUUAGCUACGCAAGACAAAAGUAUUCUAAUUGUAUUCAUUUUCGCAACAAGUGUAAAGGUUUCCUGAUAGUCAAUUCCAUAAGUUUGAGUAAAUCCUUUAGCCACCAAUCUAACUUUGUACUUUUCAAUUGAUCCGUCUACUUUAUGUUUUACGGUGAACACUCAUUUGCAACCAACUAUCUUCUUUUUCUACGGAGGUGAAACAAGUUUUCAUGUUUCAUUUUUUGUCAAUGCUCUUAUUUCUUCAAUUAUGACUUCCUUCUACUUGGGAUCUCUUAUAGUCUUUUUCCAAUCUUGUGGAAUAAAUACAAAGGAAACAGAAAAAACAAAAUCUCUAUAGGACGGAGAUAGAGAGUCAUAGGAAAUAAAGUUAGAUAUAUGAUGCUUAAUACAAGUUCUCAUUCCCUUUCUAAUACCAAUAGGUUUAUCUGAUAAAUCAUAAGAGAAAAAUAACUUAUUAGUAUCUUCUGUAAGUAGAGAAGAUUCUUGAUUUGAGAUAGACUGCAUAAUAGUUUUUCUGACUUAUCUCUACUUGAAUACCUUUUCAAGUCUGAUUUAUUCAGACGUCCAACAUUAUCUUCUUGAUUAAGACCUUCUACAAUAGAACUUUUCUCCUGAAUAUGACUCUCAAUGGUUACCCAAUUAGAUAUCACUUCUUCCUUCCCACUCUCCCUCCGAAAAGGUGUUGGGUUUGAGUUGAAGUAAGACUCAGUUUCCCUAAAUGUAGCAUCCAUAAUUAUAAAAUAUUUUCUAAACGGUGGAUGAUAACAUUUGUAACUUUUUUGAGUAGAAGAAUAUUCAACAAAUACAUAUUUAAGAGCCUUAGAUUCUAACUUAUCCACAUUUCUAGCAUGAACAAAGCACACACAUCCCAGCAGCCACACCAGACACCCCGUGUGCGGAAAAGUGGACUGGCACAGAGGGGCUCCGUCCGGUCAAUGCAGCACGACUCAGCGCGCGACCGAAGCAACAUGGUGUGCAGAAGGAUCAGUCGACUCGUCUCCAGACGCGGAUCGGCUGGAUAGGAGCGACGGAGGGCGCAGAACGACAGAUCUUUCAAAUGCACACAACCACAUGAAAAAAGGUCUGAUAAUCGCGGUCAAGCCGGAUUUGUGCGGAAAGGAACCAAAUUUGUCUCAAUCGGGAUUUUCUGGCAGUAUUCCACCAUUUUUCGGGCCGAAUGGGUUGAAGCCGGUGGCGCGUGUGGCUCACGCGCCUCUGCUGCGGCAGCGCAUGUGGCUGACGCACGCGGAAACUGUGGCUGUUCUUGCUGGGGUUGAGCGGCGACUCCAUCUGGGUGAUGCUGGGUUUGGUUUCUUUUGGUAGUUGAGUACCAAUUUGGUCUAUUUUGCUUAUUUUAAGGUUUUUACAAAAUUUUAAAAUAGUUUUACUUUAACUCUGAUACCAUGAAGAUUUUGAAGAAAAUAAAUUUCUAAUUUUAUUUCUUAUAUACUUUGUGUUCACAUUUAAGAGAUAUAUAUAAAGUAAUUUUUCUUAUUAUAAGAAAAAUUACUUUAUAUAUAUCUAAGAAAAUUUUAAUUAUAUGAUAUAUUUUUACUAUUAGAACUCUAAUUAUAGCCUAAUACUAUACUUAACAUACAAUCCUUAUCAACAGUUAUCUACUAUGAACUAUAAGUUACCACUUAGGACCACCUAUCUUCCCUUAAAAUUAUUGAGCAUUGCUAAGAAUAUAAGCACUUAACAAAUGUUAACAUACUAAAUGAAACAAGAAAGGGAGCACAAAAGAAGGCGGUAAGAAUCUACAUCACGAUUGAUACACAACUUAAAUCAUUUAAACUUAAAGAAACAAGAAACAGAAAAUAUGAGAAGGUAGUAUCUGUCUAUUUAAAAAUGCAUACACAACCUUCAUUGAUUUAUCUUCAAUAAAUUUUCUUUGAGAAACAUCAAUUAUAGACUUUGCUGAGCCUUCACCUCUUUGAAUGUUUGAUUUGAGUUGCACAUUUCUACAGGAAGGCAGAGGAGCAAUACCUGACAGCUGUGGAAUAUAGAAGUAUCACUCUCCAUCAGGAAAUGAUAACAAUGGCAAAAUCAUGGAGAUUCUUUUCCCAAUAAUGAUAAAUUUAGCCAACAACACUAUGCAAACAUGGGAGUAAAUUGC
rnacentral:lncRNA from 1 species